rnacentral:lncRNA from 1 species
UUAAUCUUAAGGAUGCAAGAGGUCGUACGGUGCUUCAUGUGGCUGCAAGGCGUAAUGAGCCAGAAGUGAUGGUGACUCUGCUGAGCAAGGGAGCAUGCGCAUCAGAAACUACAUCAGAUGGGCAAACAGCUGUAGCAAUCUGUCGGAGAAUGACAAGGCGAAAGGAUUAUCUUGAAGCUACAAAGCAGGGGCAGGGAACUAACAAAGACCGGUUAUGCAUUGAUGUCCUUGAGAGAGAGAUGAGAAGGAACUCCAUGUCUGAGAACUUGGCAAUGCCAACAGAGGUGAUGGAUGAUCAUUUCCAAGCGUGGCUGGACUGUCUAGAAAAUAGAGGUGAUAUUGCUUUACUGGUAUUAGUUCAUCACCUUCUCAGAGUUUGUGCAUAGCACACUUCUUUCUACUGUUUGUUUGUCCCUUCAUAUGGAAAAUAGAGGUGAUAUUCCUUUACUGGUAUUAGUAAAUCAUCUUCUCAAGAGUUUGUGAGUCCCUUCAUUUUAGCAUCUCAAACACACAUGGGCUCAUUGCUUGGGGCACACUGUUGGCCAGUCAUGUGAUUUGAUCUCCUUUUUUGGAAUAGAGAAUUAUGAAUCCAUCUGAUCUAGGCUUGGUGGUUUGCACCGAAGUGGUUUUUGAUAAAUAAUUGUACAGGACUUUGUCAUCAAAAUCUUUUUUUUUGUUUUCCAAAAGUAAUGAGGUACAAAAAUAUUUAUGCCUAUCCUGGAUGAGUGCCAUAACAGCUUCUUAAUAUUUUGCAGUGGCUUUUGUACGGUUGUUUCCUUCUGAAGCUAGAGUAGCUAUGGAAAUAGCUGGUGCAGAUACCGCCACUCGCCUUUCAGCAUUAGGUCAGAAAGGACUAAGGGGGAACUUAAAGGAGAUUGAUUCGAAUGAAACGCCCUCUAUGCAAGCCAAGAGACGCCAAUUGAGACUGCUAACUCUGUUUAAAACAUGUAUUUAUAUUUUAUUAACUUUUGCACCCUUCUAUUUACUGAUUAUCUUUAUAAUUAACUAAUACAUGUAUCCAGGUUUCUCCUUCCAAUUGGAAUUUCUUUAUAGUGCUCUCUUAGGUGUAAUCAGAUGUAUCAAAAGAGAAAGGGUAAUUGUUAGUACAUUGAUAUCUCAACAAAAUGGUAGAACCUUUCUUUAUACCACUAAGACAUUUGUCGCAGGUAUGCCUACAUAAUCAGUGUCCUUCAAAACUUUCAAGGAGUUAGCAAUGCCUAACCCCUGAAACACUAAAUGUCAUGGGAUCAACUCUUUACCUCUAGACCGAAGGUGUGACACCCAGACCCAAUUAGGGCUUAGAAAACAUAUCGAAUCUGAGUGAAACUAAAUGCCUGUAAAUCCAAAUCUCCAAAAUAUGAAAAAGUCAUCUAAUUUCUCUUUUCAUGUAUUUCACAAAAAUUUGAAAAAUUCAUUCUCAAUCAUAAACUAUGCACAGCUAAUUAUUCAGCAUCAGUAUAGAGCAAUACUUCCUCAUAAGCAAAUAAAUCUUACAAUCCUUCUUACAUGAUUUAAAAAAAAAUACUAAUAGAAGUCUUCUAGAUACAAACAUAAACAGAAUUCAACUGUUUAAAACUAUGCCAAAACACAAGCUUCAAUCAGUGAUACAUACGACUAAUUAUUAAAAACAUCUAGGCAGAAACCUUACGAAAGCUCAAUCCUUCCGAAGCAUUCUUCAAACUAAUAAUUGCAACCAUCUGUGAAAAAUAGUUGACAAGGAGUCAGCUGUGAAUUCAAUCAGUAGAAACAUUCGUAAUGAACAAAAAGAAUUCUUUGUGCAAUAUUUUCAGAAAAUUCAUUUAACCUUUCAAAUGAAACAGAGUAAUUUUUCUAACGCAGUCAGGAUUUAUAUAAAACACAAACGUUUCAGACAGAAGCUGUGUGGAAUGUAAAUUUUGCUUCUUUAAACAGAAAGUUAUAUAUUAGUUUGAUUUUAAAGGGAGGUUAUUGGGAAGUUAAAAUUGGCAGUUGUGGGAAAAGGGUAAUAGCAGUUAUAAAUCUGUUUUAAAGCAAAUUCAAAUCAAGUUUCAAAUUUUAGGAGUACUUAAUUCAAUAAAACAAGGAAUAAAUAAAGCUUUCAUUGAAACAAAACUAAGUAAAUUCAUUUAAAGCAAAACAGGAUGUGAGCAUUACAUAAGGGUUCUUGGCCAUACCAUGUUUACCUGCAGUCAGAUAUCUGGGUCCUUGUUAUUUGGAGACAAGACCUGAUUGUGCUAUGUUUUCCGCAGCUAGACACCUGUGGAUAAGAGAACCCUAAGCCUAUUGAGAAUAAAUUCUGUAAUCCAAGACUCUUCAGUUCUUUCAUUUGUGGCUAAUUAGUUAUAAAAUUUGUGAAUUACAUGCCCCAAUGCCCCUUGCAAAAUGUAGUUUAUAUCCUUAAGAUGCCCGUGGAUGAACUGAAAUAAUAAAAUAUAGAAGACAGACUUAAUGCCGAUAGCAUUUCUUAAGAAAAACUUGGGAUGUUUAUAAUUUUCUUAGAGCAUUUGCUGAACUUUCUGUGAUUGCAGUCGAGACGGGUCAAUGCUACUUCCCUCAUUGCUCAGAAGUGGCUGAGUUAAUGUUUCGCACCUUCUAUGAUUGCUCAGAAGUGGUCGAUGAGUUUUUGGAUUGUAAUUGGUCCGAUGCUUCCCUCCUAGAAAAGGGUACUCCUGAAGAGCAUAAACUCAGAAGGGCAUACUUCAUGAAACUUAAAGUAGACAUGCAGGAGGCACUCCGCAAGGACGUGGCUUAUCACCGUUGUUUGGGGCUGCCAUCAUCCUGGCCGGCAUUUAACCAGUACAUGGCUGGGAGCAAUCCGUCGGCAUUCUGCAAGUACGUGGCUGCGAGAAAUCAGUCGGAAUUCUUCAAGUACGUGGCUGCGAGCAAUCGUUCAGGAAUGUCGACAUCCUCGGCAGCGGAAAACUAAAGGAGUUGAGUGAGCUUAAAUGGUGUUUGUAGUUUCUUUUUUUUUUUCCUCAAGUGAUGUGGCAUGUAUCAAUUAGUUGGUAAAGUUAUUGUAUUGUCUCAAGUCCGGUGAGAUGCGCGAACGUGUAGCAUGGAUCACAAACUCAUUUCAUAGAAUAUUUUUGUGUAUAAUUAUAUAAUUUACAAUUGGUAUGAGGCAUGCAUGUGUGUGUCAUAUCAGUUGCUGAACAAACUUUGGCUUUUAGUUUUGUAGGCACUACCAUCUCAAAUUCUCUGUUAUCAUGAAUGUGUAUUUUUUUUCUUUUUUCUUUUUUCUUUUUUAACAAAUCAUAAAUGAGAUUAAGAUAAUCUUUUUUAAAAAAAAGGAAAAAAUGGAGAUUUCUUUUAUUUUUCCUUAAAAAACUGAAGAAAAAUUUAGAUGGUAGUGAGAGACGGAGAAUUAAAGCAAUUUUAUUCACAAAUGUAAUGUGUUUGGUGCAGCAAUACAAACUAAUAAAUUAUAAUUUAUCAGACUAGUUUACAGAAUCUUAUAUAUAAAAUUAUAUCCUCUGAAUAAAAAUCUUCUCACCUCUUUUUGACUUCUCAUUUAGAUGCCCUCUCUAGAAUUUCUCCAGCCAUAAACACAUUUUUACAAAACAAAACAGAAGAAAUUAUAUAUAAUUCUCACAAGGACUAUUUCAUUUGCACAUAGUACGAAAUUGGUCACUAAAGUUACUUGAGGAGAAAAUUUACAUGAAAUGGGUACAUCAUAUUAUCAGUAUUUUAGUUUAAAUUUGAACAUACUAGAAUGGUCUCUCAUAAAUUUUUCUCCAAUUUGAGAGAUGGUGGGGGAGUGGGGUUAAAGUGCAUCUACAUAGGAUUAAUUAUAAUUAAAUUUAUUUUUUAAAACUAUUUUAACUAGAAGCAGUAGUAAUUCUUUUUAUUAUUGUUAUUUAAAUUAUAUCAAAAUCUCGUGACUCGUGAUCAAAUUAAGUAGUUCAUUAAACUUUUUUAGGUGACGUAUGGUAUGGAGUUUUUAUAAAUCUAUAAAUAUAGUAAAAUAUUUAAUUUUGCUUGUCGUAAACUUUUAAUUUGCAUGGGUUAAAAAAGAAAAAAAGAAAUUGACUUAUUAAUUAAUUAAGAAUUAUAGAAAGAAUAAAGAGCAAAUUAUAGUUGCGUGAGAAAACUCUCGUGAAAAGGGCUCCAGAUUUCCUUUCCCUGGCUUCGUGCGUUUCCUUUUGCCCUUUUCGAGCACGAAUUCGAAUCCAGUACUUUAUAAUAAAGAUAUAACAUUAAAAAAUAAGAAAAAGAAUCCCAAUUUUUACUGGUAUAUAACGCAGAGCCAAAGCGAUAGCGAAACAUCAAAUUGUUUUUAUUUCAACCUUCGCGCAACUUCCGGUGACAUAAUUUUUCUCUGUUUCAGGUACAUACCCAACACUAAACUUUGCAUGUAUCAUUCUUGUACUUUUGUUAUUCUUUUCUUUUCUUUUCUCUUUCGCUGUAAUUUUUUAUGAAGCACUCUGUUUCAGUUCUGUUUCUGGUUUUGUUUCGGUUUAAUAUUAUUGGUUCGGUUCUGUUCUGCUCUGUUCUACGUCGUAUGUAUAUAUGUAUAUAUUUUUGGCCUCGAAUUGCUUUCAUCACCGGUUUUGUUAUUCAUUUAUCGUGAAUUUUAGAUGACUUGUUCGGCCAUGUUAUAUUCAGCUACCAUCUUCAUGGUGGGUUUGUAAGAUAGUCUCUGACUAACACAUGGCAUUGAUUAUGAAUGUGGUUUUGUGAGAUACAUCAUACAGACGUUAACUCGUGUUAAUUUGUACUUACAUCAUUCAAAAGAUUAGUGUUUUUCUCUCUUUUUUUUUUAAAAAAAAAAAAUUGAAAUGCCCCUUUUCGCAUUUUAUAGAUGAAAGGAAGAAACAUAAUAUCGCAGAACUAGAAUAAAGGAGCCUAUUCUGGUACCUAUUGCCCGAGGAACCUUCUGUAUAUUCGGUAGGAACUACCAUGGGAAGUCAAAUCUUACCAGAGCCAAGCGGAGUCGUUGUUGAAGGAAUGUAUAUUAGCAGAUCCAUUUGUCCCGUACACUUCAAUUGUUGGUAGCAUUUUUGCUUGCACGAUGGUAUGUUUGUCAUCGUUACUGCGUGGUGGUAUUUACUAGAAAAUAUUUUGAAUGCAUAGUUUUUAUUUAAUUAGUUAUAAAUUUUAUACCCUCUGUUUUCCAUAAGAAUGUGUUCCUUUUCAGGUCUAUGAUAUUGCCCAAUUGAUUAGUGUGCUGUUCACUUUAAAUCUGAUUCCAGUUUCUCCAACAUACAGCGGGUCGAGUGGAUUUUAAUCAUUUUUCUUAAAUCGACAACUUAUGCAGGGCCAUAUCAACUGUCCAUGACAUUUUUAUUACAACGAUGUCUUUGUACUUUGUGUUUUGGUCGGAUCUCAGAGUUUGUGCAUAGCACACUUGGUUCUACUGUUUGUUUGUCCCUUCAUAGACAUUUUGAUAAACUGUUAUUUUUGUUCUUUGGAAGUGAAUAUUUUCAGCAACUAGAACUCCGAAGCAUCUGGAGUGAUCCAUUUUGUCAUUCUCAAUACCUAUAAAAGAAUGUCAUAGAAAACAGUUUCCAAAGCAAGUUGCAUGUGUUUUGAAUUUGUCUUUGCAAGCCACUAAUUGCUUGGAGCGCACUGUUAGCCUGUCGUGAUCCCAUCCACUUUUUUGGAUAGACAAUUGUGCAUCCAUAUGAUCUGGACUAAACUAGUUUCUAAUAAAUAAUUGCCCAAGGAUUUAGUCUCAGUGUUACAGCCCAGUCUUUGUUGUCAAUACUCUUUCCCCUGUCGUGGAUGAGCGCCAUAACGGCUUUUUAAUGUUUUGCAGUGGCUUUUGCACGGUUGUUGUUUCCUUCUGAAGCUAGAGUAGCUACGGAUAGAGCGGAUGCAGAUGCCACCAAUUUUUAUACUGGCCUUUCAGCAUCAAAAUCAAAAGGAUCAAGUGGGAACAUAAAGGAGGUUGAUUUGAAUGAAACACCCUCUAUGCAAGCCAAGAGACUCCAAUUAAGACUGCAUGCUUUGCUUAAAACAGGUAUUUAUAUACCUUAUUAGUUUUUGUAUGUUUAUAAUUACUGAUUUUUGCAUCAAAAGAGAGAGGUUAAUUUUUAGUGCAUUUACUGAACUUUCUAUGAUUGCAGUGGAGACAGGUCGACGCUGCUUCCCUCGUUGCUCAGAAAUGGUUGAUAAAUUUUAGGAUUGUGAUUGGUCCGAUGCUUCCCUCCUAGAAAAAGGGUACUCCUGAAGAGCAGAGACUCAAAAGGGCACGCUUCAUGGAAUUUAAAGAAGGCGUGAAGAAGGCAUUUUACAAGGACAUGGCUGAGAAAAAAUGGCUCAGGUUUGUAGUCAUCCUCGUCAUCGUCAUCGUCAUCUUCUCCGAAGGAAGGAGUAAAGUGUAAGGGGUAGGAAAAGGUGAUGCUUAGCUGCUUGUCUUUGUUAUUCAUUUAUAGGCAACUAAAAGAGUUUUAGUGAGUUGGAUUGUUACUUGUAGAGAGAUACUCUUCGAGCCUAUGUUAUGGCUUAUGUUGUAUAAUAGCAGAGGAACUUCAAGCUUGCGUUGUUGUAUUUUCCCUGGUAUUUGGCAUGUAAUGCACUAAAUGACAAAGAAUUUUCUAAUUUUAGAGGGGAAAGUUAUGUCGGUUAAUUAUUUAUUUAUUUUGUCUGUUUAAUUCAGUUUACAUAGCUUUUUUUUUUUUUCUUUCCAAAAAAAUCUUCAUUUCUUCAUCUGCAAUUUAAGUCAUUUGUAACUUCUUUCAGGGAGGAGAGAGAGAAAAAAAGAAAAAGAAAAAGAAAAAGAAAAGAGUUUAUUUUACAGUACUGAUUUUGCUACAGAAAUUGGUUAAGGUGACAUUAAUGUUCUCAGUAACAGAUGGAUAUGCAGAAUUUUCGUCGAAAUUGAAAUUAGAAAUGGAUGGAUAUGAAUGACAUAUAUUCAGAAUUUUUUAGUAGAAUGUUUAAACAAAAAUUUUUAGCUCAUUACUCUCUAGAAGGAAAAUAAAUUUUUUAUUGUAAAUAUUAAAUAUUAAAUUUAUAAUAUAAUAAAUGUGUGACUUAAGGUGCACAAUACCUAUAUAAUAAUAAUAAUUAAGACAAGAAAAAUCAAAUUUUGUAAAUUACCAAAUUUCCCUUGGAAUUUGAUAUUACGUAGGUGUUGCAUCCACUGGGUUAGUACAACUGAAAGAAACUAACUAAAGUAAAUCAAAAUAUCAGAAAAAUAUGGCGAGCUUCUCAUUUUUUUUAAGUGAAAAAAAAGAAAACUGAAAUUAAUUAUUUUUAUACCCAAAUUCUCAUGCUCGAGGGCCGCUGGAAUUGGCCAUUGUAAUUUUGUCAUCCUCGUUAUUCACUGGCCAUCGCAGCCUUCCUCCCUUAAAAUGAGAGUCGUUUUUUGGACCACGACAUAAUAAAAAUAGUAUUGAUUAAUACUAAUAAAUUUCUUUUUGAUUAUUUUGCAGUGUGAUAGUCUAGUGCGUGCCAGUGCCCAUCAUAUCACUUGAACAUGUGGUAAAAUUCUGCGAGUCUUUGUAAAAUAAUUUUUAAAUUGUGUAUUAACGAAAUAGCUCAAUGAAGGCUAUCGCUCAUUAUUUUAUUUUGUAUAUAUUUAUGAUAAUUGUUGAAAAGAAAAUUGUAAAGUGAGAUUAAUGAACAUUUAUGAAUGUGGAAAUUAUCACAACCAGAAUUUAUGAUGAAAUAAUUUUCAGUCAAACGAGUGUAAGUUUGUAUAUAUAUAUAUAUUUUGAAUUGUCAUAUAUAUAUAUAAGUUUGUCACUAACAGUAAAUUAAAUUAUGAAUAUUUUAAUAAUUCAAAAUCUCAUUUAACCAUCAGUGUUUAUAGGGUGCGUUUGACACAUUGUAUUGUAUUAUAUUAUUUUAAUGCAUGUGUAUUGUAUUAUAUUGUAUUAUAUUUACACUGUAUUAUAAUAAUACUAUACAAUGUUUGGUACUACAUUGUAUUAAUUUUUAAUAAAUAUAUAAUAUUACACUGUAUUAUAUUAAUUUUUUAAUAAGUACUUUAAAUUAUAUAUUUAGAAAAUGACAUUUAUUAGUAGUUAAAAAAAUGCUAAAUAUAAAAUUCUUAAAUUUUAGAAAUUUAAUAUUAUCUUUUUGGUAUAAACGUUGAAAAAAAAAUCAUAAUUCCUCGUAAAGAUCGAAAUAAAUAAUUCAAUCAAAUAACCUUCAAAUAAUAUUAUAACAUAAAUAAAUAAUUAAAAUGUACAAGAUUAAGUUAAAAAUCAUUUUAAGAUAAUAAAAUAAAAAUUUAUGCAUAGUAUAAAAUAAUAUAGUUGCUGUAGUAUAAUAACCAACAAAAUAGACUGUACUAAAUAAUUCAAGUAAUAUAACAAUAUUUACAAGUACCGUUUUUGAAGGCCCCUUUUUUGUUUUAUUCUUAGAACUUCAUAGUUCUUUUGUUUUUUCUUUUUCUUUUUCUUUGCCCCUUUUUUGUUGUCUUCAUAGUUCUUUUGGCUUCAUAAGUUUCUUUUAACUGAGUUAAUAGUGUUGUUAGGUCAAACUAAGUUUGGCUUCAUAAGAUUCAUAGUAGAGUGUAGAACUGGGUAUAAUUUUGGGUUAGACAAGUCAAACGUCUUAUCAAGUAAUUGAUCUGCUUACUGAUUUGGUAAUUGCAACAUUGCUAAAUAGUUCAAUUUGUCCUUUUUAUUUUGUUGAAUUUAUUGUAUGUCAUAUUACUUGAUUUAAUUAUUUUCUCAGAUCUUCAAGGUGAAAAUUUCAGCUUCAAAGAACAAAGCUAAUCAUCCAGCAAUUCAAUGAAGAAACCAAGACACAGUGGCUCAUAAAUUGUAGUUGGUGAUUGAUCCAGCCAUUCGGGUGCUCGCCAGUCCUAGAUGAGAAAAUUUUCAACGCGGCGAAUAAAUUGCUGUUGAUCUGCUUUAUAUAUUUUGACGUUUGUGAUUUGUGAAUACAUGGUCUGAUUCCAGUGUUUACAACUUUGAAAUUCAAUUAAAAGUUGAGCUGUGAAAGAGUGUGUUGUAUAACUUGAGAAGCAAAUGAAACAAACAGGAAAUGUGUUUUUUAUUUUUUUAAUCUAUCUAUGUAACAAUUUAUAGCUGGCAAAGUAAUAGAGUUGUAUACUUGUAUUUAAUUAUUUAUUAUUAUUAUUUUGUAUCCAUGGUGUUUUGUCAUUUCGAAAGUACUUGACCCUUUCAAGCUAAGGCACACUCCAGCAGCCGAAACUUUGAGCUUUCAGUUCUUGAUUUUAGCGUGAGGGGUAUCUUUGUCUUUUCAGUAGUCAACACACGGUCAACAAAACAGUGUACAAACAAUCGACCUGUGAACUUGGGUCAAAGCUUUCAUCUUUAAAUCACAUAGGUAGAUCAUGAUUCAAGCUUCGGUUAUAAGCCUUUCAUUGUGAUUGAUAGUAUUCUUUCUUUGAUAUAUAUAUAUAUAUAGAUUCAGUUUGAAUAUGGUUCUUGAUGGUAUCAUGGAAAAUGCGAACGAAAAGUCAGCAUCUUUGAGUUUUGACUCAUCUUAUCAAACUUGUUGGUCCACUAAUCAAUCAACAGGCACUUGUGAUCUUGAUUAUUUCAACUUCAGGAUGCAAAGCAGCAAUCCCAAAGAGACAUGGCAUGACGCUGAGAUUGUUGUUGAGGGCAAAUCAGUGGCGGUUAAUCGCAGCAUAUUGUCUGAGCGCAGUCAAUAUUUUCGUCGGCUUUUUAAUUUGAGAAAUGAUGGUUCUGUCAGUGAGGAGAAACCCAAGUAUCUUAUGACUGAUUUGGUGCCUCAUGGGAAGGUUGGAUAUGAAGCUUUCAAUGAUAUCCUGCUUUAUAUUUACACUGGGAAGACAAAGGCAUCUCCUCCAGAAGCGUCCACGUGUGUUGAUGACGCUUGUACUCAUGGUGCUUGCCCUCCUGCUAUUAAUUAUGUUAUUGAGUUGAUGUAUGCUUCUGCUGCUUUUCAGAUGACACAUCUCGUUUCGGUUUAUGAGGUAGUUGCGCUUCCCCGCUAUUUGCAUUGCUUAAAUUUAUGCUUGUUGGUAUAGUUUUAACAUAUAUGGAAUUGAAAUCAAUUUCGGUUGUGAAGCAACUUCGGUGGUUCCCAAUAUUAGGCAUUGUAGUAGAUCCAAAAUUAGCUUGUUGAGAAGUGUAGAUACUGUAGAGCCCAAAACUUCGUCUUAUCUUGCAAGAGUCUGUUGUUUUAUUUUGAAAGAGACAAAAGUGAUGAUGAUGGGCAGCGAACUCUAGGAAUCAAUGCUUGCUGACACUGACCCCCAAGAAUCAAUGAGUCUGAAUUUGAUAAGUGCACCUAUCCUAUCACAAAAGCUUUUGCGUUGAGUUUCUAACCAAUUUUCAUUUGUGUAGGUGUCAGUUCAUGCUCUGGCUUGACUGUUCUGUUAUUUAGGUUGUUUUAUCCGUAUUUUCUUCACUCACUUGAUGGUUAGUUCUCUCAUGCUUUCAAGCUCUCAACAGUGAAUGCGGGAGAUUCUAUUUUUCCCGUCCAGUCUAUAACCUAGCAAAUCAUUAAUGCUGUAGAAUAACAUCUUGUGUAGCCGAGUUUAUGUCUCUGAACAUUGGUCCAUCGGCAUUUAGGAUCAAUAAGCAUGGCACUGAUUUUCCCCCUCAUUAUUAUUUUCCUCCACAGAUUAUCCCCUUUGAGUAUUUGAAUUUUGAAUAUAUUAUUCUGAAUCAAAACUCUAUCUGUCCGUGUAGCAUUUUUUAUAUGCUUUACGAUGUUUACCAAUAAUUACCCACUAUGGGGUAUUUGAAUUUUGAAUAUAUUAUUCUGAAUCAAAACUCUAUCUGUCCGUGCAGCAUUGGCUUCUGAACUUGGCUGAGGAUGCGCGUGUGGAAGAUGUAAUCCCAAUUCUCGUGGCUGCCUUCCAUUGCCAACAGAACAUGCUCUGUUCUUACUGCAUCCAGAGAAUUGCAGGAUCAAAUCUUGACAAUGUUUGUCUCGAGAAAGAGCUUCCUGAUGAAGUUUCAAGAGAAAUCAAAUCACUCCGUGUCAAAUCUAACCAGGAGUCUGAAGCUAAUAUAGCAGAAGUGGAUCCUAUGCAUGCAAAAAUAGUCAGAAGAAUCCAUAAGGCGCUGGACUCUGAUGACUUUGAACUGUUGAAGCUUCUUCUGGAUGUAUCUAAUGUCACUCUGGAUGAUGCUUAUGCUCUGCACUAUGCUGCUGCCUACUGCAACCCUAAGGUUUUUAAGGAAGUGCUCAAUAUGGACUUGGCUGGUCUCAAUCUUAAGAAUGCAAGAGGUCGUACGGUGCUUCAUGUGGCUGCAAGGCGUAAUGAGCCAGAAGUGAUGGUGACUCUGCUGAGCAAGGGAGCAUGCGCAUCAGAAACUACAUCAGAUGGGCAAACAGCUGUAGCAAUCUGUCGGAGAAUGACAAGGCGAAAGGAUUAUAUUGAAGCUUCAAAGCAGGGGCAGGAAACUAACAAAGACCGGUUAUGCAUUGACGUCCUUGAGAGAGAGAUGAGAAGGAACUCCAUGUCUGAGAACUUGGCAAUGUCAUCAGAGGUGAUGUAUGAUCAUUUCCAAGCGGAGCUGGACUAUCUAGAAAAUACAGGUGAUAUUUCUUUACUGGUAUUAGUUCAUCACCUUCUCAGAGUUUGUGCAUAGCACACUUCUUUCUACUGUUUGUUUGUCCCUUCAUAUGGAAAAUAGAGGUGAUAUUCCUUUACUGGUAUUAGUAAAUCAUCUUCUCAAGAGUUUGUGAGUCCCUUCAUUUUAGCAUCUCAAACACACAUGGGCUCAUUGCUUGGGGCACACUGUUGGGCAGUCAUGUGAUUUGAUCCCCUUUUUUGGAAUAGAGAAUUAUGAAUCCAUCUGAUCUAGGCUUGGUGGUUUGCACCGAAGUGGUUUUUGAUAAAUAAUUGUACAAGACUUUGUCAUCAAAAACUUUUUUUUUUUGUUUUCCAAAAGUAAUGAGGUACAAAAAUAUUUAUGCCUAUCCUGGAUGAGUGCCAUAACAGCUUCUUAAUAUUUUGCAGUGGCUUUUGUACGGUUGUUUCCUUCUGAAGCUAGAGUAGCUAUGGAAAUAGCUGGUGCAGAUACCGCCACUGGCCUUUCAGCAUUAGGUCAGAAAGGACUAAGUGGGAACUUAAAGGAGAUUGAUUUGAAUGAAACGCCCUCUAUGCAAGCCAAGAGACGCCAAUUGAGACUGCUUACUCUGCUUAAAACAGGUAUUUAUAUACUUUAUUAACUUUUGCACCUUUCUAUUUACUGAUUAUCUUUAUAAUUAACUAAUACAUGUAUCCAGGUUUCUCCUUCCAUUUCAUUAGAAGUAAAUUGGAAUCUCUUUAUAGUGCUCUGUUAGGUGUAAUCAGAUGUAUCAAAAGAGAAAGAGUAAUUGUUAGUACAUUGAUAUCUCAACAAAAUGGUGGAACCUUUCUUUAUACCACUAAAGACAUUUGUUGCAGGAUGCCUACAGAAUCAGUGUGCUUUAAAACUUUCAAGGAGUUCGCAAUGCCUAACCCUUGAAACACUAAAUCUCACGGGAUCAACUCUUUACCUCUAGACCGAAGGUGUGACACCCAGACCCAAUUAGUGCUUAGAACACAUAUCGAAUCUGAGUGAAACUAAAUGCCUGUAAAUCCAAAUCUCCAAAAUAUCAAAAAGUCAUCUACUUUCUCUUUUCAUGUAUUUCACAAAAUUUUGAAAAAUUCAUUCUCAAUCAUAAACUAUGCACAGCUAAAUAUUCAGCAUAUCAGUAUAGAGCAAUACUUCCUCAUAAGCAAAUAAAUCUUACAAUCCUUCUUACAUGAUUUUAAAAAAAUACUAAUAGAAGUCUUCUAGAUACAAACAUAAACAGAAUUCAACUGUUUAAAACUAUGCCAAAACACAAGCUUCAAUCAGUAAUACAUACGACUAAUUAUUAAAAACAUCUAGGCAGAAACCUUACGAAAGCUCAAUCCUUCCGAAGCAUUCUUCAAAUUAAUAAUUGCUACCAUCUGUGAAAAAUAAUUGACAAGGAGUCAGCUGUGAAUUCAAUCAAUAGAAAUAUUCGUAACGAACAAAAAUAAUUCUUUGCGCAAUAUUUUCAGAAAAUUCAUUUAACCUUUCAAAUGAAACAGAGUAAUUUUUGUAACGCAGUCAGGAUUUAUAUAAAACACAAACGUUUCAAACAGAAGCUGUGCGGAAUGUAAAUUUUGCUUCUUUAAACAGAAAGUUAUAUAUUAGUUUGAUUUUAAAGGGAGGUUAUUGGGAAGUUAAAAUUGGCAGUUGUGGGAAAAGGGUAAUAGCAGUUAUAAAAUCUGUUUUAAAGCAAAUUCAAAUCAAGUUUCAAAUUUUAGGAGUACUUAAUUCAAUAAAAUAAGGAAUAAAUAAAGCUUUCAUUGAAACAAAACUAAGUAAAUUCAUUUAAAGCAAAAAAGGAUGGGAGCAUUACUAUGGGUUCUUAUGUUUACCCGCAGUCAGGCAUCUGGGACCUUGUUAUUUGGAGACAAGACUUGAUUGUGCUAUGUUUUCCACAGCCAGAUAUAUUUUACUUCAUUAGUUCCUAGACAUCUGUGGAUAAGAGAACCCUAAGCAUAUUGAGAAUAAAUUCCGUAAUCCAAGACUCUUCAGUUCUUUCAUUUGUGGCUAAUUAGUUAUAAAAUUUGUGAAUUUCAUGCCCCAUGCUCCUUGCAAAAUGUAUUUUAUAUCCUUAAGAUGCCAGUGGAUGAACUGAAAUAAUAAAAAAUGGAAGACAGAUUUAAUGCCGACAACAUUUCUUAAGAAAAACUUGGGAUGUUUAUAAUUUUCUUAGAGCAUUUGCUGAACUUUCUGUGAUCGCAGUCGAGACGGGUCAACGCUACUUCCCUCAUUGCUCAGAAGUGGUUGAUCACUUUAUGGAUUGGCCCUAUGCUUCCACCCCAAAAAUGGACGACGAGAAACUUAAAGUAGACGUGCAGGAGGCAUUCUGCAAGGACGUGGCUUAUCACCGUCGUAGAGGGCUGCCAUCAUCCUGGCCGGCAUUUUACCAGUACAUGGCUGAGAGCAAUCAGUCGGCAUUUUACAAGUACGUGGCUGAGAGCAAUCGUUCAGGAAUGGCGACAUCCUCGGCAGCGAGCAAUUAAGCAUCACCUUUCCCUAAAAGAUAUAUUUGACACCUGGAAAACUAAAGGAGUUGAGUGAGCUCUGCUCGAUUGGUAUUUGUAGUUUCUUUUUUUUUUCCUCAAGUGAUCUGGCAUGUAUCAAUUAGUUUGUAAAGUUAAUUGUAUUGUCUCAAGUCCGGUGAGAUGCGCGAACGUAUAGCAUGGAUCACAAACUCAUUUCAUAGAAUAUUUUUUUGUAUAAUUAUAUAAUUUAUAGGCUUUGCUUAAAAAAAUUAAAAAAAAAAAAAAAGAAUUGUAUUACAAUUGGUAUGAGGCAUGCAUGUGUGUGUCAUAUCAGUUACUGAACAAACUUUGCCUUUUAGUUUUGUAGGCACUACUAUCUCAAAUUCUCUGUUAUCAUGAAUGUGUAUUUUUUUUCUUUUUUCUUUUUUAACAAAUCAUAAAUGAGAUUAAGAUAAUCUUUUUUUUUAAAAGAAAAAAAUGGAAAUUUCUUUUAUUUUUCCUUAAAAAACUGAAGAAAAAUUUAGAAGGUAGUGAGAGACGGAGAAUUAAAGAAAUUUUAUUCACAAAUGUAAUGUGUUUGGUGCAGCAAUACAAACUAAUAAAUUAUAAUUUAUGAGACUAGUUUGCAAAAUCUUAUAUAUAAAAUUAUAUCCUCUGAAUAAAAAUCUUCUCACCUCUUUUGACUUCUCAUUUAGAUGUCCUCUCUAGAAUCUCUCUGGCCAUAAACACAUUUUUACAAAACAAAACAGAAGAAAUUAUAUAUAAUUCUCACAAGGACUAUUUCAUUUGCACAUAGUACGCAAUUGGUCACUAAAGUUAUUUGAGGAGAAAAUUUACAUGAGAUGGGUACAUCCUAUUAUCAGUAUUGUAAUUUAAAUUUGAACAUACUCGAAUGGUCUCUCAUAAAUUUUUCUCCAAUUUGAGAGAUGGUGGGGAAGUGGGGUUAAAGUGCAUCUGCAUAGAAUUAAUUAUAAUUAUAUUUAUUUUUUUAAACUAUUUUAACUAGAAGUAGUAGUAAUUCUUUUUAUUAUUGUUAUUCCAAUUAUAUCAAAAUCUCGUGACUCGUGAUCAAAUUAAGUAGUUCAUUAAAUUUUUUUAGGUGACGUACGGUAUGGAGUUUUUAUAAAUUUAUAUAAAUAGUAAAAUAUUUAAUUUUGUUUGUCGUAAACUUUUAAUUUGCAUGGGUUAAAAACGAAAAAAAGAAAUUGACUUAUUAAUUAAUUAACAAUUAUAGAAAGAAUAAAAAGCAAAUUAGAGUUGCGUGAGAAAACUCUCGUGAAAAGGGUUCCAGAUUUCCUUUCCCUGGCUUCGUGCGUUUCCUGUUUGCCCUUUCGAGCACAAUUCGAAUCCAAUACUUAAUAAUAAAGAUAUAAUAUUAAAAAAUAAGAAAAAGAAUCCAAAUUUUUACUGGUAUAUAAGGCAGAGCCAAAGCGAUAGCGAAACAUCAAAUUGUUUUUAUUUCAACCUUCGCGCAACUUCCGGUGACAUAAUUUUUCUCUGUUUCAGGUACAUACCCAACACUAAACUUUGCAUGUAUCAUUCUUGUACUUUUGUUAUUCUUUUCUUUUCUUUUCUCUUUUGCUGUAAUUUUUUAUGAAGCACUCUGUUUCAGUUCUGUUUCUGGUUUUGUUUCGGUUUAAUAUUAUUGGUUCGGUUCUGUUCUGCUCUGUUCUACGUCGUAUGUAUAUAUGUAUAUAUUUUUGGCCUCGAAUUGCUUUCAUCACCGGUUUUGUUAUUCAUUUAUCGUGAAAUUUAGAUGACUUGUUCGGCCAUGUUAUAUUCAGCUACCAUCUUCAUGGUGGGUUUGUAAGAUAGUCUCUGACUAACACAUGGCAUUGAUUAUGAAUGAUGGUUUUGUGAGAUACAUCAUACAGACGUUAACUCGUGUUAAUUUGUACUUACAUCAUUCAAAAGAUUAGUGUUUUUCUCUCUUUUUGUUUUUAAAAAAAAAUUGAAAUGCCCCUUUUCACAUUUUAUAGAUGAAAGGAAGAAACAUAAUAUCGCAGAACUAGAAUAAAGGAGCCUAUUCUGGUAUCUAUUAUCCGAGGAACCUUCUGUAUAUUCGGUAGGAACUACCAUGGGAAGUCAAAUCUUACCAGAGCCAGGCGGAGUCGUUGCUGAAGGAAUAUAUAUUAGCAGAUCCAUUUGUCCCGUACACUUCAAAUGUUGGUAGCAUUUUUGCUUGCACGAUGGUAUGUUUGUCAUCGUUACUGCGUGGUGGUAUAUACUAGAAAAUAUUUUGAAUGCAUAGUUUUUAUUUAAUUAGUUAUAAAUUUUAUACCCUCUGUUUUCCAUAAGAAUGUGUUCCUUUUCAGGUCUAUGAUCUUGCCCAAUUGAUUAGUGUGCUGUUCACUUUAAAUCUGAUUCCAGUUUCUCCAACAUACAGCGGGUCGAGUGGAGUUUAAUCAUUUUUCUUAAAUCGACAACUUAUGCAGGGCCAUAUCAACUGUCCAUGACAUUUUUAUUACAACAAUGUCUUUGUACUUUGUGUUUUGGUCGGAUCUCAGAGUUUGUGCAUAGCACACUUGGUUCUACUGUUUGUUUGUCCCUUCAUAGACAUUUUGAUAAACUGUUAUUUUUGUUCUUUGGAAGUGAAUAUUUUCAGCAACUAGAACUCCGAAGCAUCUGGAGUGAUCCAUUUUGUCAUUCUCAAUACCUAUAAAAGAAUGUCAUAGAAAACAGUUUCCAAAGCAAGUUGCAUGUGUUUUGAAUUUGUCUUUGCAAGCCACUAAUUGCUUGGAGCACACUGUUAGCCUGUCGCGAUCCCAUCCACUUUUUUGGAUAGACAAUUGUGCAUCCAUAUGAUCUGGACUAAACUAGUUUCUAAUAAAUAAUUGCCCAAGGAUUUAGUCUCAGUGUUACAGCCCAGUCUUUGUUGUCAAUACUCUUUCCCCUGUCGUGGAUGAGCGCCAUAACAGCUUCUUAAUGUUUUGCAGUGGCUUUUGCACGGUUGUUGUUUCCUUCUGAAGCUAGAGUAGCUACGGAUAGAGCGGAUGCAGAUGCCACCAGUUUUUAUACUAGCCUUUCAGCACCAAAAUCAAAAGGAUCAAGUGGGAACUUAAAGGAGGUUGAUUUGAAUGAAACACCCUCUAUGCAAGCCAAGAGACUCCAAUUAGGAUUGCAAGCUCUGCUUAAAACAAGUAUUCAUAUACCUUAUUAGUUUUUGUACCUUUACAAUUUGUGAUUUUUGUAUCAAAAGAGAGAGAGGUUAAUUUUUAGUGCAUUUACUGAACUUUCUAUGAUUGCAGUGGAGACAGGUCGACGCUACUUCCCUCGUUGCUCAGAAAUGGUUGAUAAAUUUUAGGAUUGUGAUUGGUCCGAUGCUUCCCUCCUAGAAAAAGGGUACUCCUGAAGAGCAGAGACUCAAAAGGGCACGCUUCAUGGAACUUAAAGAAGGCGUAAAGAAGGCAUUUUACAAGGACAUGGCUGAGAAAAUAUGGCUCAGGUUUGUAGUCAUCCUCGUCGUCGUCAUCUUCUCCCAAGGAAGGAGUAAAGUGUAAGGGUAGGAAAAGGUGAUGCUUAGCUGCUUGUCUUUGUUAUUCAUUUAUAGGCAACUCAAAGAGUUUUAGUGAGUUGGAUUGUUACGUUGUAGAGAGAUACUCUUCGAGCCUAUGUUAUGGCUUAUGUUGUAUAAUAGCAGAGGAACUUCAAGCUUGCGUUGUUGUAUUUUCCCUGGUAUUUGGCAUGUAAUGCACUAAAUGACAAAGAAUUUUCUAAUUUUAGAGGGAAAAGUUAUGUCAGUUAAUUAUUUAUUUAUUUUGUCUGUUUAAUUCAGUUUAUAAUAUAGCUUUUUUUUUUUCUUUCCAAAAAAAUCUUCAUUUCUUCAUCUGCAAUUUAAGUCAUUUGUAACUUCUUUCAGGGAGGAGAGAGAGAAAAAAAGAAAAAGAAAAAGAAAAAGAAAAGAGUUUAUUUUACAGUACUGAUUUUCCUACAGAAAUUGGUUAAGGUGACAUUAAUGUUCUUUGAGGUAGACGGAUAUGCAGAUUUUUCGUCGAAAUUGAAAUUAGAAAUGGAUGGAUAUGCAGAAUUUUUUAAUAGAAUUUUUAUACAAAAAUUUGUAGCUCAUUACUCUCUAAAAGGAAAAAAUAAAUUUUUGAUGGUAAAUAUUAAAUUUUAAAUUUAUAAUAUAAUAACUUUGUGAGUUAAGGUGCACAAUACCCAUAUAUUAAUAAUUAAGAAAAGAAAAAAAUUAAAUUUUGUAAAUUACCAAUUUUUUCUUGAAAUUUGAUAUUCUAUAUUAACGUAGGUGUUGCAUGGACUGGGUUAGUACAAUUGAAAGAAACUAACUAAAGUAAAACAAAAUAUCAUUAAAAAUAUGGCAAGCUUCUCAUAUUUUUUAAGUGAAAAAGAGAAGAAAACUAAAAUUAAUUAUUGUUAUACCCAAAUUCUAGUGCUUGAAGGCCGCUGGAAUUGACCAUUGCAGUUUUGUCAUCCUCAUUAUUCACCGGCCAUCGUGGCCUUCCUCCAUUAAAAAAAUAAAUGACCAUUUUUUUGGACCACGACAUAUUAAAAAUAGUAUUGAUUAAUACUAAUAUAUCUCUUUUUUGAUUAUUUUGCAGUGCGAUAGUCCAGUGAGGGCAGUGCCCAUCGUAGCACUUGAACAUGUGGUAAAUUUCUGCCAGUCUUUGUAAAAUAAUUUUUAAAUUAUGUAUUAACCAGAUAGCUCAAUGAAGACUAUCGCUUACUAAAUCAUUACUUUAUUUUGUAUAUAUUUAUGGUAAUUGUUGAAAAGAAAAAUGUAAAGUGAGAUUAACGAACGUUUAUGAAUGUGGAAAUUAACACAACCAGGAUUUAUGAUGAAAUAAUUUUAUGUCAAAUGAGUAUAAAUUUGUAUAUAUAUAUAUAUAUUUUGAAUUGUCAUAUAUAUACAAGUUUGUCACUAAUAGUAAACUUAAUUAUGAAUAUUUUAAUAAUUCAAAAUUUUAUUUAACCAUCGGUGUUUAUAGUGUUUUUCAUAAUACAAAAUUGUAAACAGUCUCAUCCUGAAAAGUAUAAUGCCAAACCUUUUCAAAAAUUUAUUCUAUUAUAGUCGUCUUAGUCAGUUAUAUUUAUUUCCAAAUUGAAGAUAAAAAUAAUACUUCAUAUAUCAUACAUUACUUCAUACAUUACUUAAAGUUUUUUUUUUUCAAUCAAAUUAUGAGCAAGUGAAAGGAUGCAAUAAGUUACGACUAAAAUUGUAAAAUUUACCAAUGGCUAUAUACAAAGUCUGAUUCUCAUGAGCUUAAAAGAUGGGCUUUGAAUGAUGUAUGGUUCUCAAAACUAUACUUAUAUUAAUAUGAUUGCCCUGCUUCCUUCAUGACGGGUAAUUUUUAGUUUCUUUCCCUGAAAUUUGGCGUAUCUCCAUUUUAAUGGGAAGUAUUAGCGUAUCUCCCACUUUUCUCCCCUGCCGUUUGUAUACCGUUUCAUAUUGUUAAUGGACGAAGCUACAAGUCUUCUCUUUCAUCAAAUCGAUCCAUAACAAAUACGAGUCUGCUUCACCUAACCAAAACACACACAUACUCCAUCUCUAAAUGCUUUGAAGAUAAACAAAUCAACCGUAAUCCUGCAACUUUAGCUCAGAGAAUCGGAUAAGAAAAGAACAGGUGAUGAAUCAAGGGUAAUGGCGCCGAGUGAGUGUCGCCUGCGGUCGGCGUUAGAGGCGACUGUCACUCAAUCGCGUACAAGGUUAGUCUUUGAAAAAACUCUUUGCACGUUAGAAAUCAGUGAUUGGGCAUUAUUUUGUUGUUUAAAAAUGAAAAUGGGUUUAUUAGUUUGUCGAAGAAUCUGCUCUGUUGCCGGUGUUGUUUGUUGAUUAAAAUGAAAAUGGGUUUGUUGAUGUGUUGAAGAAGUUGCUCUACUGCUGGUGUUUUUUUAUUAAUUAAAAUGAAAAUGGGUUUGUUAAUUUAUUGAAGCAGCUGCUGGCAUUGUUAUUGUGACUUUAUUUAUCCAAUUGAUGAGCUUAUGAGCUAAUAGUAUUGUUUGAUCAAGCUUGUGUUCUUAAUAGUGGAGUUGAUAUUCUUAAAAAUGAAUUUAUGAUUAUGAGAAUAUGAAAAUUGAAUGGCAUCAUAGAGAUCUAGAUUAAUCACCAUCGUAUAUGUUUCUAAAUAAAGGAAUAAGCAGCAACUGAUUUGAAACUUAAGACUUUAGGGAUAUGUAUGUGCAACUGAAUGAAUCAUCAGUUGCUAUCUUGUAAGUCAAUACUAGCAUAUUACUUAAUGGCAAGUGAAACUAUUUUAUGUGUAUUGCUGCCUAUCAAAAUGUUUAUGUUUGAAGUUAUCUCCUUUUAGGAAAUUGAAUGCUUCUGUGAGUUCUCUGGUAAGGGCUAUACAACUAGUUCUAAUAGAUUCCUUCAUGUGCAUUAAUUAGCUUAGUAGUUUAUUGACCUAUAUCCAAUGUCUAUUCCCCUUUUCUGUAGCCGUCUAGUUUUAUGAGCAUGUGAAGUGAACUUUUGUUUUAUGUUUCAGGACUUGGGAUUAGAGUGUAUAACAUUCAAUAUCUUUUUAUCAAAGAACUGAUAUAUGUCAAUGUAGUGCGAUCUGGUCUUUAUUAGCUUCUUGAUUUGCCAGGAUGUUUGACAACCAUCUUUGACCAUGAUUGCCAACAUAUAAGCUGCUACAUAGUGUCUCAGGAAUCACAGCAAAUUAUUAUCAUAAUAUGGUGAUUUUGAAUCCAAAACUUGGUAGUGUCAAGAAAAUAGACCCCUGUUUAUUUAUCUUCAUGUUUUGUAUGCGGCUGCAAUAGACUAUUAUAAGUUACUUUUAGUUUUAUCAAGUUUUUUUUCCUUAAAUUUCAUCGAGUCUUGGAGUCUUUGUAAUAUAGAGUCUAAGUGAAGAAUACUUGGGUGAAAUCUUGUAUUCUCUCUUCCAGUAAUAUAAUCAUCCUUUGUGUUUUUAUCUUUUUAUUUUGGAAUCAGAGCAUACUUUAUUAUAGAAGGACUUAGACUCUAUAUUACAAAGACUCAGCGGUUUCUUUUAACUGAGUUAAUAGUGUUGUUAGGUUAAACUAAGUUUGGCUUCAUAAGAUUCAUAGUAGAGUGUAGAACUGGGUACAAUGUUGGGUUAGACAAGUCAAAAGUCUUAUCAAGUAAUUGUUCUGCUUACUGAUUUGGUAAUUGCAACAUUGCUAAAUAGUUCAAUUUGUCCUUUUAUUUUGUUGAAUUUAUUGUAUGUCAUAUUACUUCAUUUAAUUAUUUUCUCAGAUCUUGUAGGUGAAAAUUUCAGCUUCAAAGGCCAAGCUAAUCAUCCAGCAAUUCAGUGAAACCAAGACACAGUGGCUCAUAAAUUGUUGUUGGUGAUCCAGCCAUUCGGGUGCUUGCCAGUCCUAGACGAGAAAACUUUCAACGCGGCGCAUAAAUUGUUGUUGAUCUACUUUAUAUAUUUUGACCUUUGUGAUUUGUGAAUACAUGGUUUGAUUCCAGUGUUUACAACUUUGAUACUGUGUAUAACUUAAAAAGCAAAUGAAACAAGUAGGAAAUGUGUUUUUAUUUUUUUUAUUCGAUCUAUCUAUUUAUUUUUUGUUUGGAAAUGUAACAAUUUAUAGCUGGCAAAGUACUAGAGUUGUAUACUUGUAUUUAAUUCAUUAUUAUUAUUUUUUUAAUGACUCAGUAAUGUCAUUGUCCAUGGUGUUCUGUCAUUUCGAAAGUACUUGACCCUUCCACGCUAAGGCACAUUACAGUAGCCGAAAUUUUGAGCUUUCAGUUCUUGAUUUUAGCGUGAGGGGUAUCUUUGUCUUUUCAGUUGUCAACAAACAAUUGGGGGGGGGGGGGGGGGCGGUGGUGGAGAUACGCUGAUACUUUCUAUCAUACUGGAGAUACACCUAACCUCAGGGAAGGAAACUGAAAUUUCACCUUUACGACGGGUGGACUUGGGUCAAACUUUCAUAUUUUAAUCAAGUAGGUCGAUCACGAUUCAAGCUUCAGUCAUAAGCCUUUCGUUAUGAUUGAUAUUAUUCUUUCUUGAUAGUAUCAUGGAAAAUGCAAACGAAAAGUCAGCAUCUUUGAGUUUUGUCUCAUCAUAUCCGACUUGUUGGUCUACUAAUCAAUCGACAGGCCCUUUUGAUCUUGAUAAUUUGAACUUAAGGAGGCAAAGCAGCAAUCCUGAAGAGCCAUUGCUUGAUGCUGAGAUCGUUGUUGACGGCAAAUCAGUGGCAGUUAAUCGCAGCAUAUUGUCUGCACGCAGUCGUUUUUUUCAUUGGCUUUUUCAUUUGAGCAGUGAUGGUUCUGUGAGUGAGGGGAAACCCAAGUAUCUUAUGACUGAUUUGGUGCCUUAUAGGAAGGUUGGAUAUGAAGCUUUUAAUGAUAUCUUGCAUUAUCUUUACACUGGAAUGCGUAAGGCACCUCCUUCAGAAGUGUUCACGUGUGUUGAUGAUACUUCUGUCUGUAGGCUUCAUAGAUUUGUUCAAGCCUUCAAGGAUGUCUAGCUGUUACUUACCGCCCAACAAUGGUGCUACAUUUCUAGUGAAUGAUAUGUUAUUCUACAUCUGUAUAUUGCGACUUUGACAAACUUCGCCUUUCCUUUGUUGAUUCACUCGUCUCACUUUUUUUAAAUUGCCCGAUUAUGAAAUGGUCUAUUGGAGACUAGCAUUGGAAGGUUUCUUCUGGAAAAAAAAUUUUACUUGACCACCAAUUUUCAUUUAGGUGGGUGUCAGUUCAUUCUCUGGCUUGACUGUUCUGUUAUUUAGGUUGUUUUAUCCGUAUUUCCUCACUCACUUGAUACUGAGUUUUCUCAUGCUUUCAAGCUCAACAGUGAAUGCGAAUGCGAGAGAUUCUCUUUCUUCCCGUCCAGGCUACAACGUAGCAAAUUGUUAAUGCUGUAGAAUAACAUCUUGUGUAGGCGAGCUUAUGUCUCUGUGAACAUUGGUCCAUCGGCAUUUAGGUUCAAUAAGCAUGGCACUGAUUUUCCCCCUCAUUAUUAUUUUCCUGAACAGGUUAUCCCCUUUAAGUAUUUGAAUUUUGAAUAUAUUAUUCUGAAUCAAAACUCUAUCUGUCCGUGUAGCAUUUUAUAUAUGCUUUAUGAUGUUUACCAAUAUUUACCCACUAUGGGGUAUUUGAAUUUUGAAUAUAUUAUUCUGAAUCAAAACUCUAUCUGUCCAUGUAGGAUUUGUUUCUGAACAAGGCUGAGGAUGCUCUUGUGGAAGAUGUAAUCCCAAUUCUCGUGGCUGCCUUCCAUUGCCAAUUGAACAAGCUUCGUUUUUUCUGCAUCCAGAGAAUUGCAAGGUCAAAUCUUGACAAUGUUUGUCUUGAGAAAGAGCUUCCUGAUGAAGUUUCAAGAGAAAUCAAAUCACUCCGUGUCAAAUCUAACCAGGAGUCUGAAGCUACUAUAGCAGAAGUGGAUCCUAUGCAUGCAAAAAUAGUCAGAAGAAUCCACAAGGCGCUGGACUCUGAUGACGUUGAACUGUUGAAGCUUCUUCUGGAUGUAUCUAACGUCACUCUGGAUGAUGCUUACGCUCUGCACUAUGCUGCUGCCUACUGCAGCCCUAAGGUUUUUAAGGAAGUUCUCAAUAUGGGCUUGGCUGAUCUCAAUCUUAAGGAUGCAAGAGGACGUAUGGUGCUUCAUGUAGCUGCAAGGCAUAAGGAGCCAGCAGUGAUGGUGGCCCUGCUGAGCAAGGGAGCAUGCGCAUCAGAAACUACAUCAGAUGGGCAAACAGCUUUAGCAAUCUGUCGAAGAAUGACAAGGUGAAAGGAUUAUAUUGAAGCUACAAAGCAGGGACAGGAAACUAACAAAGACCGGUUAUGAAUUGAUGUCCUUGAGAGAGAGAUGAGAAGGAACUCCAUGUCUGGGAACUUGGCAAUGUCAGCAGAAGUGAUGGAUGAUGAUUUCCAAAGGAAGCUGGACUAUAUGGAAAAUAUAGGUGAUAUUUUUUUACUGGUAUUAGUUCAUCACCUUCUCAGAGUUUGUGCAUAGCACACUUCUUUCUACUGUUUUUUUGUCCCUUCAUCUGGAAAAUAAAGGUGAUAUUCCUUUGCUGGUAUUAGUAAAUCAUCUUCUCAGAGUUUGUGAGUCCCUUCAUCAUAGGAUCUCAAACACACAUGGGCUUCUCAGAGUUUGUGAGUCCCUUCAUCAUAGGAUCUCAAACACACAUGGGCUCAUUGCUUGGAGCACACUGUUGGCCAGUCGUGUGAUUUGAUCCCUUUUUUGGAAUAGACAACUCUGAAUCCAUCUGAUCUAAGCUUGGCGGUUUGCACUGAACUGGUUUUUGAUGAAUAAUUGCACAAGACUUUGUCAUCAAAACUUUCAUUUUUUGGUUUUUUUGCCCCAAAAGUAAUGAGGUACAAAAAAAUCUAUGCCUAUCCUGGAUGAGUGCCAUAACAGCUUCUUAAUAUUUCGCAGUGGCUUGUGUACGGUUGUUUCCUUCUGAAGCUAGAGUAGCUAUGGAAAUAGCAGGUGCAGAUACAACCACUGGCCUUUCAGCAUUUGGUCGGAAAGGACUUAGUGGGAACUUAAAGGAGGUUGAUUUGAAUGAAAUGCCCUCUAUGCAAGCCAAAAGAUGCCAAUUGAGACUGCUCACUCUGCUUAAAACAGGUAUUUAUAUACUUUAUUCACUUUUGCACCUUUCUAUUUACUGAUUAUCUUUAUAAUUAAAUAAUACAUGUAUCCAGGUUUCUCCUUCCAUUUCAUUAGAAGUAAAAUUGGAAUCUCUUUAUAGUGCUCUGUUAGGUGUAAUCAGAUGUAUCAAAAGAGAAAGGGUAAUUGUUAGUACAUUGAUAACUCAACAAAAUGGUAGAACCUUUCUUUAUACCACUAAAGACAUUUGUUGCAGGUGUGCCUACAUAAUCGGUGUCCUUUAAAACUUUCAAGGAGUUAGCAAUGCCUAACCCUUGAAACACUAAAUCUCACGGGAUCAACUCUUUACCUCUAGACCGAAGGUGUGACACCCAGACCCAAUUAGGGCUUAGAACACAUAUCGAAUCUGAGCGAAACUAAAUGCUUGUAAAUCCAAAUCUCCAAAAUAUCAAAAGGUCGUCUACUUUCUCUUUUCAUGAAUUUCACAAAAUUUUGAAAAAUUUAUUCUCAAUCAUAAACUAUGCGCAGCUAAUUAAUCAGUAUAUCAGUAUACAACAAUACUUCCUCGUAAGCAAAUAAAUCUUACAAUCCUUCUUACAUGAUUUUUUUUAAAAAAAUACUUCUAUAAGUCUUCUAAAUACAAACAUAAACUGAACUCAACUGCUAAAACUAUGCCAAAAUACAAGCUUCAAUCAGUAAUACACGUGAAUAUUUAUUAAAAACAUCUAGCUACAAACCUUAUGAAAGCUCAAUCCUUCCGAAGCAUUCUUAGAAUUAAUAAUUUCUACUAUCUGUGAAAAAUAAUUGACAGGGGUCAGCUGUUAACUCAAUCCGUAGAAACAUUCAUAACGAACAAAAAGAAUUCUUUGUGCAAUAUUUUCAGAAAAUUCAUUUAACCUUUCAAAUGAAACAGAGUAAUUUUUCAAACACAGUCAGGAUUUAUAUAAAACAUAAACGUUUCAGACAAGCUUUUUGGAACGUAAAUUUUGCUUCUUUGAACAGAAAGUUAUACAUUAGUUUGAUUUUAAAGGGAGGUUAUUGGCAAGUUAAAAUUGGCAGUUGUGGUAAAAGGGUAAUAGCAGUUAUAAAAUCUCUUUUAAAACAAAUUCAAAUCAGGUUUUAAAUUUUAGGAGUACUUAAUUCAAUAAAAUAUAGAAUAAAUAAAGCUUUCAAUGAAACAAAACUAAGUAAAUUCAUUUAAAGCAAAACAGGAUGCGAGCAUUACCUAAGGGUUCUUGACCAUACUAUGUUUACCCGCAGUCACAUAUCUGGGACCUUGUUAUUUGGAGACAAGACUUGAUUGUGCCAUGUUUUCCGCAGCCAGAUAUCUUUUACUUCAUUAUUUCCUAGACAUCUGUGGAUAACAGAACCCUAAGCCUAUUGAGAAUAAAUUCUGUAAUCCAAGACUCUUCAGUCCUUUCAUUUGUGGCUAAUUAGUUAUAAAAUUUGUGAAUUUCAUGCCCCACGCCCCUUGCAAAAUGUAUUUUAUAUCCUUAAGAUGCCGGUGGAUGAACUGAAAUAAUAAAAAAUGGAAAACAGACUUAAUGUUGAUAGCAUUUCUUAAGAAAAACUUGGGAUGUUUAUAAUUUUCUUAGAGCAUUUGCUGAACUUUCUGUGAUCGCAGUCGAGACGGGUCAACGCUACUUCCCUAAUUGCUCAGAAGUGGUUGAGAAGUUUAUGUUUUUCAACCCCGCUAAUUGCUCAGAAUUGGUUGAUGAGUUUUUGGAUUGUGAUUCGGCCGAUGCUUCCCUCCUAGAAAAGGGUACUCCUGAAGUGCAGAAACUCCAAAGGGCAUGCUUCAUGAAACUUAAAGUAGAGAUGCCGGAGGCAGUCUGCAAGGACGUGGCUUAUCACCGUCGCUCAGGGCUGCCAUCAUCCUGGUCGGCAUUUUACAAGUACAUGGCUGAGAGCAAUCGUUCAGGUAUGCCGGCAUCCUCGGCAUCGAGCAAUUAAGCAUCACCUUUCCCUAAAAGAUAUAUUUGACACCUGGGACACUAAAAGAGUUUAGUGAGCUCGAUUGGUACUUGUGGAGAUACCCAGAGCCUAUGUUACGGCUAUGUAUUGUCAAGUAGCAGAGAAAUUUUAAUGAAUGAUGGAUGAUUUUCUUGUGACUCUUUUGGUAACAAUCAUGUAACGAUUUCAGUAAUGUUAACAUUAUCGCAAUUUUCUUUUUCUUCAAGUAAUCUGGCAUUUAUCAAUUAGGUUGUAGAAUUUAUUAUAUUGUCUGGAGUCACACGAGGGAAAACUUUAGGUGCAACUGUGGUACCGUGCAACAGUAGCAUCCAGCCGUUAGAUGUCAGUGGACCCCAUCAAUCUAAGUGCAUCCAAUCGCUAGAUGCAACUGUGGCACGGUGCCACAGUUGCACCGUAGCCUGUGUCACACGAACGCAUAACAUUGAUGGAAUGGAUCACGUUAUCAUGAACGUAUAAUUAACAUCAGUUGCUGAACAAACUUUGCCUUUCAAUUUUGUAGACAUUACUAUCUCAAAUUUUCUAUUAUCAUAAAUGAGAUUUUAGGUAAUCUUUAAAAAAAAAAAACUAGAGAUUUCUUUUAUUUUUCCUUAAAAAAUGAAGAAAAAUUUAGAAAGUAGUGAGAGACGGAGAAUUAAAGCAAUUUUAUUCACAAAUGUAAUGUGCUUGGAGUAGCAAUACAAACUAACAAAUUAUAAUUUAUGAGAUUAGUUUACAAAAUCUUAUAUAUAAAAUUAUAUCCUCUAAAUAAAAAUAUUCUCACCUCUUUGGACUUAUCAUUUAUGAUGCGUUUGAGAUUGAGGUGCUGUAACUUUUAAACUACAGUUGCUGUGGAAAAAAUAUUAUAAUUAUGAAAUAAAAGUUAGUAAUAUUUAAUAAAUAUAAAUUUAAAUAGUAAUUUUGACAAAUUUAUUAAAGAUAUAAUAGAUUUUCUAUCAUACAAGUGAAAAAUCAUAUCAGCAUAGCUUCCAAGUUACAACAAUUAGUGUUUACCAAACAUUUUAGUACUGUAGUUUAAAGUUGCCCAACCUCAAUUCCAAACACACCCUUAGAUGCCCUUUCUACAAUCUCUCUAGCGAUAAACACAUUUUUAUAAAAUAAAACAAAAAAAAUUAUAUAUAAUUGUCAAGAGGAAUCUUACUAAAAUGGUCUCUCAUAAAUUUUUCUCUAAUUUGAGAGAUAGUGGGGAGUGGGGUUAAAGUGCAUCAACAUAGAAUUAAAAUUUUUUUUUUAAUUUUUUUAACUAUUUUAAUUAAAAGUAGCAGUUAUUCUUUUUAUUAUUGUUAUUCCAAUUAUCUAAAAAUCAAGUAACUGGGGAUCAAAUUAAGUAGUUCAUUAAAUUUUUUAAAUGACGUAUGAUAUGGUGUAUGGAGUUUUUAUACAUCUAUUUAAAUAGUAAAAUAUUUAAUUUUGCUUGUCGUAAAAUUUUAAUUUACGUGGGUUAAAAAAGAAAAAAAGAAAAAAAGAAAAAAGAAAUUGACUUAACAAUUAUUGAAAGACUAAAUAGAAAAUUGUAGUUGCGUGGGAAAACUCUGGGGAAAAGGGCUCCUGAUUUCCUUUCCCUGGCUUCGUGCGUCUCCUUUUGCCCUUUCGAGCACGAUUGCACGAAUUCGAAUCCAAUUCUUGAUAAUAAAGAUAUAAUAUUAUUAUAAUGCUAAUAAUUAACAUUAAAAUAUUAAAAAAUAAGGGAAAAAAAAUCCAAAUUUUUACUGGUAUAUAACUCAGAGCCAAAGCGAUGGCGAAACAUCAAAUUGUUUUUGUUUCAACCUUCGCGCAACUUCCGGUGACAUAAUCUCUGUCUGUUUCAGGUAAAUACCCAAAACUAAACUUUGCAUGUAUUAUUAUUGUAUUUUUGUUAUUCAUUCACAUAUUCUUCUUUUCUUUUCUUUUUUUCUUUUGCUGUAAGUUUUUAUGAGACACUCUGUUUCAGUUCUGUUUCUGGUUUUGUUUCAGUUUAACAUUAUUGGUUCCGUUCGGUUCUGUUCUGCUCUGUUCUCUGUUGUAUGUAUAUAUGUAUAUAUUUUUGGCCUCGAAUUGCUUUGAUCACCGGUUUUGUUAUUCAUUUAUCCUGAAUUUUAGAUACCCGUAAAGCUUGUUUGGCCAUGUGUUCACUUGAUUGUUACAUUCAGCUGUCAUUUUCAUGGUGGGUUUGUAAGAUAGUCUCUGACUAACAUAUGGCAUUGAUUAUGAAUGACGGUUUUUGUUAAAAGUCAUGGCUGGCACCGGCCAUCUAGAUGGCCGGUGCCAACCAUUCAACCAUUCAACACGGCCCGCCAUUAUUGGUGGUGCCGUGUUGACUUAUUCUAUAAAAAAAAAAAAAAUAAGCCAAAAUUUUGGCUAUAUAAAGAGGGCUUCCCACCCUCAUUUUUCAUCCAAUUCCAUUGAGAGAGAAGCAUUGCUUUCUUUGAGUGUUGAGAGUUUUAAGAGUUUAAUAAACUCUUGAGUGUUUAGUGUUUUGAGAGUUUGGGUGUAUUGGGAUUUUGGGAAGUGAGCUAAAAUACUACAAUACUUGUAACUCCUUUUCACUAGUAAAAUAUUUCCUUCUGUCUUCGCCCGUGGACGUAGGCUAAAAGCCGAACCACGUAAUUUUCUGGUAUUCUCUUUUAUGCUUUUUCUUUAUUUUUCUUCUAAUUUUACUUUAGCUGUGUGUCUGCUUCACCCACCAAUUUCCUAACAGUUUUUUGAGAUACAUCACACCGCCGUUAACUCUUUUUAAUGUGUACUUAUGUACUUACUUCAUUCAAAAGAUUAGUGUUUUUCUCUUUUUUUUUUUUAAAAUGAAAUGCCCCUUUUCGCAUUUUAUAGGUGAAAGGAAGAAACAUAAUAUCGCAGAACUAGAAUAAAGGAGCCUAUUCCGGUACCUAUUGUCCAAGGAAACUUCUGUAUAUUCUGUAGGAACUACCGAACUACCAUGGAAGUCAAAUCUUACCAGAGCCAGGCGGAGUCGUUGCUGAAGGAAUAUAUAUUAGCAGAUCCAUUUGUCCCUUACAGUUCAAUUGCUGGUAGCAUUUUUGCAUGCAAGACAGUAUGUUUUUCAUCGUUACUGCAUGGUGUUAUUUACUAGAAAAUAUUUUGAAUGCGUAGUUUUUAUGUAAUUAGUUAUAAAUUUUUAUAUACCUUUUUUUUUUAUAAGAAUGUGUUCCUUUUCAGGUCUAUGAUCUUGCCCAAUUGAUUAGUGCUGUCCACUUUAAAUGUUAUUCCAGUUUCUCCAGCAUACAGCGGGUUGAGUGGAGUAACAGGUGAUUGAAUAUUUUCAUUUAGUUCAAUUGUCAUUUCUUUUUCAAUCGGUAAAGUUUAAUCAUUUUUCUUAAAUCGACAACUUAUGCAGGGCCAUAUCAACCGUCCAUGCCAUUUUUGUUUCAGCUAUGUCUUUGUACUGUGUGUUUUGGUCGAAUAUAAGAGUUUGUACAUAGCACACUUGUUGUUUGUUUGUCCCUUCAUAGACAUUUCGAUAAACUGUUAUUUUUGUUUGUCGGAAUUGAAUAUUUUCCACAACUAGAACUCCGAAGUAUCUGGAAUGAUCCAUUUUAUCAUUCUCAAUACCUAUAAAAGAAGGACAUAGAAAACAGUUUCCAAAGCAAGUUGCCUAUGUUUUGAAUUUGUCUUUGGAAGCCACUAAUUGCUUGGAGCACACUGUUAGCCAGUCGUGGUUCCAUCCACUUAUUUGGAUAGACAAUUGUGCAUCCACAUGAUCUGGAAUAAACUAGUUUUUAAUAAAUAAUUGCCCAAGGAUUUAGUCUCAGUGUUACAGCCCAGUCUUUGUUGUCAAUACUCUUUCCCCUGUCGUGGAUGAGCGUCAUAACAGCUUCUUAAUGUGCAGUGGCUUUUGCACGGUUGUUUUUUUUCCUGCUGAAGCUAGAGUAGCUAUGGAUAUAGCAGAUGCAGAUGCCAUCAAUUUUUAUACUGGCCUUUCAGCAUCAAAAUCAAAAGGAUCAAGUGGGAACUUAAAGGAGGUUGAUUUCAAUGAAACACCCUCUAAGCAAGCCAAGAGACUCCAAUUAAGCCUGCAAGCUCUGCUUAAAACAGGUAUUUAUAUACCUUAUUAGUUUUUGUACCUUUACAAUUAGCGAUUUUUAUAUCAAACGAGAGAGGUUAAUCUUAGUACAUUGAUAUCUCAACAAAAUGUUAGAACCUUUGGAGCACUAGAGACAUUUUCUUAGAGCAUUUACUGAAGUUUCUAUGAUUGCAGUGGAGACAGGUCGACGCUACUUCCCUCAUUGCUUAGAAGUGGUUGAUAAGUUUUAGGAUUGUGAUUGGUCCGACGCUUCCCUCCUAGAAAAGGGUACUCCUGAAGAGCAGAAACUCAAAAGGGCACGCUACAUGGUUGAGAAAAAUCGCUCAGAUUUGUCGUCAUCCUCGUCGUCGUCAUCUUCUCCAAAGGAAGGAGUAAAGUGUAAGGGUAGGAAAAUGUGUUGCUUAGCUGCCUGUCUUUGUAUCCAUUUAUAGGCAACUAAAAGAGUUUUAGUGAGUUUGAUUGUUACUUGCAGAGAGAUACUCUUCGAGCCUAUGUUAUGGCUAUGUUGCAUAAUAGCAACAGAACUUCAAGCUUGCGUUGUUGUAUUUUCCCAGAUAUUUGGCAUGUAAUACACUAAAUGACAAAUAAUUUUCUAAUUUUAGAGGGGAAAGUUAUGUCAGUUAAUUAUUUAUUUAUUUUGUCUGUUUAAUUCAGUUUAUUUUUUCUCCAAAAAAAUCUUCAUAUCUCCAUCUGCAAUUUAAGUCAUUUGUAACUUCUUUCAGGGAGGAAGGAAAAGGGAAAAAAGAAGAAGCCUUUGUAAGUAUAUUUUACAGUACUGAUUUUCCUAUAGAAAUUGGUUAAGGUGACAUUAAUGUUCUUAGUAACAGAUGGAUAUGCAGAAUUUUCGUCGAAAUUGAAAUUAGAAAUGGAUGGAUAUGAAUGACAUAUAUUCAGAAUUUUUUAGUAGAAUGUUUAAACAAAAUUUUUUAGCUCAUUACUCUCUAAAAGGAAAAUAAAUUUUUUAUUGUAAAUAUUAAAUAUUAAAUUUAUAAUAUAAUAAAUGUGUGACUUAAGGUGCACAAUACCUAUAUAAUAAUAAUAAUUAAGACAAGAAAAAUCAAAUUUUGUAAAUUACCAAAUUUCCCUUGGAAUUUGAUAUUCUAUAUGAACGUAGGUGUUGCAUCCACUGGGUGAGUACAACUGAAAGAAACUAACUAAAGUAAAACAAAAUAUCAGAAAAAUAUGGCGAGCUUCUCAUAUUUUUUAAGUGAAAAAAAAAAAAGAAAACUGAAAUUAAUUAUUUUUAUACCCAAAUUCUCAUGCUCGAAGGCCGCUGGAAUUGGCCAUUGUAAUUUUGUCAUCCUCGUUAUUCACUGGCCAUCGCAGCCUUCCUCCCUUAAAAUGAGAGUCGUUUUUUGGACCACGACAUAAUAAAAAUAGUAUUGAUUAAUACUAAUAAAUUUCUUUUUGAUUAUUUUGCAGUGUGAUAGUCUAGUGCGUGCCAGUGCCCAGCAUAUCACUUGAACAUGUGGUAAAAUUCUGCGAGUCUUUGUAAAAUAAUUUUUAAAUUGUGUAUUAACCAAAUAGCUCAAUGAAGAGUAUCGCUCAUUAUUUUAUUUUGUAUAUAUUUAUGAUAAUUGUUGAAAAGAAAAAUGUAAAGUGAGAUUCAUGAACAUUUAUGAAUGUGGAAAUUAACACAACCAGAAUUUAUGAUGAAAUAAUUUUAAGUCAAACGAGUGUAAGUUUGUAUAUAUAUUUUUUUGAAUUGUCAUAUAUAUACAAGUUUGUCACUAACAGUAAAUUAAAUUAUGAAUAAUUUAAUAAUUCAAAAUCUCAUUUAACCAUCAGUGUUUAUAGGGUGCGUUUGGCACAUUGUAUUGUAUUAUAUUGUAUUAUAUUAUUUUAAUGCAUGUGUAUUAUAUUAUAUUGUAUUACAUUAACAUUGUGUUAUAAUAAUACUAUACAAUGUUUGGUACUACAUUGUAUUAAUUUUUAAUAAAUAUAUAAUAUUACACUGUAUUAUAUUAAUUUUUUAAUAAGUAUUUUAAAUUAUAUAUUUAGAAAAUAACAUUUAUUAGUCGUUAAAAAAUACUAAAUAUCAAAUUCUUAAAUUUUAGAAAUUUAAUAUUAUCUUUCUGGUAUAAACGUUGAAAAAAAAUCAUAAUUUUCGGAAAGAUCGAAAUAAAUAAUUCAAUCAAGUAACCUUCAAUUUUUUUGUUUUAUUCUUAGAACUUCAUAGUUCUUUUGUUUUUUCUUUUUCUUUUUCUUUGCCUCUAUUUUCUUUUUCUUUGCCCUUUUUUUUUUCUUCAUAGUUCUUUUGGCUUCAUAAGUUUCUUUUAACUGAGUUAAUAGGGUCGUUAGGUUAAACUAAGUUUGGCUUCAUAAGCUUCAUGGUAGAGUGUAGAAUUGGGCACAAUUUUGGAUUAGACAAGUCAAAGGUCUUAUCAAGUAAUUGUUCUGCUUACUGAUUUGGUAAUUGCAACAUUGCUAAAUAGUUCAAUUUGUCCUUUUUAUUUUGUUGAAUUUAUUGUAUGUCAUAUUACUUGAUUUAAUUAUUUUCUCAGAUCUUGUAGGUGAAAAUUUCAGCUUCAAAGACCAAAGCUAAUCAUCCAGCAAUUCAGUGAAACCAAGACACAGUAGGUGCGUUUGGGAUUGAGGUGCUGUAGCUUUUAAGCUACAACUGCUGUAAAAAAAAAGUUGUAAUUAUGAAACAAAAGUUAAUAAUAUAUAGUAAAUAUAAAUUUUAAAUAAUAAUUUUGAUAAAGUUAUUAAAGAUAUAAUAGAUUUUGUAUUAUACAAGUGAAAAAUCAUAUCAAUAUAACUUAAAAGCUACAGCAGCUAGUGUUUACUAAACAUUUUAGUGCUGUAGCUUUUAAGCUACAGCUGCCCAAUCUCAAUUCCAAACGCACCCAGUGGCUCAUAAAUUGUUGUUGGUUAUUGAUCCCAGCCAUUCGGGUGCUCGCCAGUCCUAGAUGAGAAAACUUUCAACGCGGCGCAUAAAUUGCUGUUGAUCUGCUUUAUAUAUUUUGACGUUUGUGAUUUGUGAAUACAUGGUCUGAUUCCAGUGUUUACAACUUUGAAAUUCAAUUAAAAGUUGAGCUGUGAAAGAGUGUGUUGUAUAACUUGAGAAGCAAAUGAAACAAACAGAAAAUGUGUUUUUAUUUUUUUAAUCUAUCUAUCUAUUUAUUUUUGGUUUGGAAAUGUAACAAUUUAUAGCUGACAAAGUAAUAGAGUUGUAUACUUUUACUUGUAUUUAAUUUAUUGUUAUUAUUAUUUUUUUUUAAUGACUCGGUAAUGUCAUCGUCCGUGGUGUUUUGUCAUUUCGAAAGUACUUAACCCUUCCACGAUAAGUUUGAGCUUUCAGUUCUUGAUUUAGCGUGUGGGGUAUCUUUGUCUUUUCAGUAGUCAACACACGGUCAACAAAACAGUCUACAAACAAUCGACCUGUGAACUUGGGUCAAAGCUUUCAUCUUUAAAUCACAUAGGUAGAUCAUGAUUCAAGCUUCAGUUAUAAGCAUUUCGUUGUGAUUGAUAGUAUUCUUUCUUUGAUAUAUAUAUAUAUAGAUUCAGUUUGAAUAUGGUUCUUGAUGGUAUCAUGGAAAAUGCGAACGAAAAGUCAGCAUCUUUGAGUUUUGUCUCAUCAUAUCAAACUUGUUGGUCCACUAAUCAAUCAACAGGCACUUGUGAUCUUGAUAAUUUGAACUUAAGGAAGCAAAGCACCAAUCCCAAAGAGACAUGGCUUGAAGCUGAGAUUGUUGUUGAGGGCAAAUCAGUGGCGGUUAAUCGCAGCAUAUUGUCUGAGCGCAGUCAAUUUUUUCGUCGGCUUUUUAAUUUGAGAAAUGAUGGUUCUGUCAGUGAGGGGAAACCCAAGUAUCUUUUGACUGAUUUGGUGCCUCAUGGGAAGGUUGGAUAUGAAGCUUUCAAUGAUACCUUGCAUUUUCUUUACACUGGGAAGCUUAAGCCAUCUCCUCUAGAAGUUUCCACGUGUGUUGAUGACGCUUGUGCUCAUGGUGCUUGCCCUCCUGCUAUCAAUUUUGCUAUUGAGAUGAUGUAUGCUUCUGCUGCUUUCCAGAUGGAACAACUCGUUGUUUUGGAGGUAAUUGUGCUUCCCUACUAUUUGUAUUGAAUAAACUUAUGCUUCUUGGUAUAGUUUUAGCAUAUAUGGGAUUGAAAUCAAUUUCAGUUGUGAAGCAACUUCGGUGGUUCCCAAUAUUAGGCAUUGUAGUAGAUCCAAAAUUAGCUUGUUAAGAAGUGUAGAUACCGGAGAGCCCAAAACUUCGUCUUAUCUUGCAAGAGUCUGUUGUUUUAUUUUCAAAGAGACAAAAGUGAUGAUGAUGGGCAGCGAACUCUAGGAAUCAAUGCUUGCUGACACUGACUCCCAAGAAUGAUAAAAACUAACCAAAAAGGUAUAGAUUACAUGAGUCUGAAUUUGAUAAGUGCGCCUAUCCUAUCACAAAAGCUUUUGCGUUGAGUUUCUAACCAAGGAAAAUUGUCACUUCUUUCUGUAGGCUUCAUAGAUUUGUUCAAGCCUUCAAGGAUGUCUAGCUGUUACUUACUGUCCAACAAUGGUGCUACAUUUCUAGUGAAUGAUAUGUUAUUCUACAUCUGUAUAUUGCAACUUUGACAAACUUGGCCUUUCCUUUGUUGAUUCACUCGUCUCACUUUUAUUAAAUUGCCCGAUUAUGAAAUGGUCUAUUGGAGACUAGCAUUGGAAGGUUUCUUCUGGAAAAAAUUUUACUUGACCGCCAAUUUUCAUUUGGGUGGGUGUCAGUUCAUGCUCUGGCUUGACUGUUCUGUUAUUUAGGUUGUUUUAUCCGUAUUUUCUUCACUUACUUGAUGGUUAGUUCUCUCAUGCUUUCAAGCUCUCAACAGUGAAUGCGAGAGAUUCUAUUUUUCCCGUCCAGUCUAUAACCUAGCAAAUCAUUAAUGCUGUAGAAUAACAUCUUGUGUAGGUGAGCUUAUGUCUCUGAACAUUGGUCCAUCGGCAUUUAGGUUCAAUAAGCAUGACACUGAUUUCCCCCCAAUUAUUAUUUUCCUGCACAGAUUAUCCCCUUUAAGUAUUUGAAUUUUGAAUAUAUUAUUAUGCAUCAAAACUGUAUCUAUCCGUGUAGCAUUUAAAUCUGCUUUAUGAUGUUUACCAAUAAUUACCCAUUAUGGGGUAUUUGAAUUUUGAAUAUAUUAUUCUGGACCAAAACUCUAUCUGUCCGUGUAGGAUUGGCUUCUGUGCUUGGCUGAGGAUGCUCCUGUGGAAGAUGUAAUCCCAAUUCUCGUGGCUGCCUUCCAUUGCCAACUGAACAUGCUCCGUUCUUACUGCAUCCAGAGAAUUGCAGGGUCAAAUCUUGACAAUCUUUGUCUCGAGAAAGAGCUUCCUGAUGAAGUUUCAAGAGAAAUCAAAUCACUCCGUGUCAAAUCUAACCAGGAGUCUGAAGCUAAUAUAGCAGAAGUGGAUCAUAAUCAUGCAAUAAUAGUCAGAAGAAUCCACAAGGCGCUGGACUCUGAUGACGUUGAACUGUUGAAGCUUCUUCUGGAUGUAUCUAAUGUCACUCUGGAUGAUGCUUACGCUCUGCACUAUGCUGCUGCCUACUGCAACCCCAAGGUUUUUAAGGAAGUGCUCAAUAUGGACUUGGCUGAUCUCAAUCUUAAGGAUGCAAGGGGACGUACAGUGCUUCAUGUGGCUGCAAGGCGUAAUGAGCCAGAAGUGAUGGUGACUCUGCUGAGCAAGGGAGCAUGCGCAUCAGAAACUAUAUCAGAUGGCCAAACAGCUGUAGAAAUCUGUCGGAGAAUGACAAGGCGAAAGGAUUAUCUUGAAGCUACAAAGCAGGGGCAGGGAACUAACAAAGACCAGUUAUGCAUUGAUGUCCUUGAGAGAGAGAUGAGAAGGAAGUCCAUGUCUGGGAACUUGGCAAUGCCAUCAGAGGUGAUGGAUGAUGAUUUCCAAGCGAAGCUGGACUAUCUGGAAAAUAGAGGUGAUAUUUCUUUACUGGUAUUAGUUCAUCACCUUCUCAGAGUUUGUGCUAUGCACACUUCUUUCUACUGUUUGUUUGUCCCUUCAUAUGGAAAAUAGAGGUGAUAUUCCUUUACUGGUAUUAGUAAAUCAUCUUCUCAAGAGUUUGUGAGUCCCUUCAUUUUAGCAUCUCAAACACACAUGGGCUCAUUGCUUGGGGCACACUGUUGGCCAGUCAUGUGAUUUGAUCCCCUUUUUUGGAAUAGACAAUUCUGAAUCCAUCUGAUCUAGGCUUGGUGGUUUGCACCGAACUGGUUUUUGAUAAAUAAUUGUACAAGACUUUGUCAUCAAAAACUUUUUUUUUUGUUUUUUUGUUUUUUGUUUUCCAAAAGUAAUGAGGUACAAAACAAUUUAUGCCUAUCCUGGAUGAGUGUCAUAACAGCUUCUUAAUAUUUUGCAGUGGCUUUUGUACGGUUGUUUCCUUCUGAAGCUAGAGUAGCUAUGGAAAUAGCAGGUACCGCCACUGGCCUUUCAGCAUUAGGUCAGAAAGGACUAAGUGGGAACUUAAAGGAGAUUGAUUUGAAUGAAACGCCCUCUAUGCAAGCCAAGAGCCGCCAAUUGAGACUGCUAACUCUGCUUAAAACAGGUAUUUAUAUACUUUAUUAACUUUUGCACCCUUCUAUACAUGUAUUAGUUAAUUAUAAAGAUAUUUAUAUACUUUAUUAACUUUUGCACCCUUCUAUUUACUGAUUAUCUUUAUAAUUAACUAAUACAUGUAUCCAGGUUUCUCCUUCCAAUUGGAAUUCCUUUAUAGUGCUCUGUUAGGUGUAAUCAGAUGUAUCAAAAGAGAAAGGGUAAUUGUUAGUACAUUGAUAUCUCAACAAAAUGGUAGAACCUUUCUUUAUACCACUAAGACAUUUGUCGCAGAUAUGCCUACAUAAUCAGUGUCCUUCAAAACUUUCAAGGAGUUAGCAAUGCCUAACCCCUGAAACACUAAAUCUCACGGGAUCAACUCUUUACAUCUAGACCGAAGGUGUGACACCCAGACCCAAUUAGGGCUUAGAACACAUAUUGAAUCUGAGUGAAACUAAAUGCCUGUAAAUCCAAAUCUCCAAAAUAUCAAAAAGUCAUCUACUUUCUCUUUUCAUGUAUUUCACAAAAUUUUGAAAAAUUCAUUCUCAAUCAUAAACUAUGCACAGCUAAUUAUUCAGCAUAUCAGUAUAGAGCAAUACUUCCUCAUAAGCAAAUAAAUCUUACAAUCCUUCUUACAUGAUUUUAAAAAAAAUACUAAUAGAAGUCUUCUAGAUACAAACAUAAACAGAAUUCAACUGUUUAAAACUAUGCCAAAACACAAGCUUCAAUCAGUAAUACAUACGACUAAUUAUUAAAAACAUCUAGGCAGAAACCUUACGAAAGCUCAAUCUUUCUGAAGCAUUCUUCAAAUUAAAAAUUGCUACCAUCUGUGAAAAAUAAUUGACAAGGAGUCAGCUGUGAACUCAAUCAGUAGAAACAUUCGUAAUGAACAAAAAGAAUUCUUUGUGCAAUAUUUUCAGAAAAUUCAUUUAACCUUUCAAAUGAAACAGAGUAAUUUUUCUAACACAGUCAGGAUUUAUAUAAAACACAAACGUUUCAGACAAAAGCUGUGCGGAAUGUAAAUUUUGCUUCUUUAAACAGAAAGUUAUAUAUUAGUUUGAUUUUAAAGGGAGGUUAUUGGGAAGUUAAAAUUGGCAGUUGUGGGAAAAGGGUAAUAGCAGUUAUAAAAUCUGUUUUAAAGCAAAUUCAAAUCAAGUUUCAAAUUUUAGGAGUACUUAAUUCAAUAAAAUAAGGAAUAAAUAAAGCUUUCAUUGAAACAAAACUAAGUAAAUUCAUUUAAAGCAAAAAAGGAUGGGAGCAUUACUAUGGGUUCUUAUGUUUACCCGCAGUCAGACAUCUGGGGACCUUGUUAUUUGGAGACAAGACUUGAUUGUGCCAUGUUUUCCGCAGCUAGACAUCUGUGGAUAAGAGAACCCUAAGCCUAUUUAGAAUAAAUUCUGUAAUCCAAGACUCUUCAGUUCUUUCAUUUGUGGCUAAUUAGUUAUAAAAUUUGUGAAUUUCAUGCCCCAUGCCCCUUGCAAAAUGCCAGUUGUUGAACUGAAAUAAUAAAAAAUGGAAAACAGACUUAAUGCCGAUAGCAUUUCUUAAGAAAAACUUGGGAUGUUUAUAAUUUUCUUAGAGCAUUUGCUGAACUUUCUGUGAUCGCAGUCGAGACGCGUGACCUCUACUUCCCUCAUUGCUCAGAAGUGGUUGAUCGCUUUUUGGAUUUGAACAAUCCUGCCACCCCAGAAAUGGACGACGAGAAACUUAAAGCAGACAUGCAGGAGGCAUUCUGCAAGGACGUGGCUUAUCACCGUCGUUUAGGGCUGCCAUCAUCCCGGCCGGCAUUUUACCAGUACACGGCUAGGAGCAAUCAGUCGGCAUUUUACAAGUACAUGGCUGAGAGCAAUCAGUCGGCCAAGUACGUGGCUGAGAGCAAUGGCUCAGGAAUGUCGACAUCCUCGGCAGCGCGCAAUCUAAAAGUUAUAUUUGACACCUGGAAAACUAAAGGAGUUGAGUGAGAUCGAUUGGUAUUUGUAGUUUCUUUUUUUUUUUCCUCAAGUGAUCUGGCGGCAUAAUUAAAAGUUAUAUUUGUUUGUCUUCAAAGUUAUUGUAUUGUCUCAAGUCCGGUAAGAUGCGCGAACUUAUAGCAUGGAUCCAUAUGAUCUGGACUAAACUAGUUUCUAAUAAAUAAGUAUAUUUUACAGUACUGAUUUUCCUACAGAAAUUGGUUAAGGUGACAUUAAUGUUCUUUAUGAUAGACGGAUAUACAGAUUUUUCGUCGAAAUUGAAAUUAGAAAUGGAUGGAUAUGCAGAAUUUUUUAAUAGAAUUUUUAUACAAAAAUUUGUAGCUCAUUACCCUCUAAAAGGAAAAAAAUAAAUUUUUGAUUUUAAAUAUUAAAUAUUAAAUUUAUAAUAUAAUAACUUUGUGAGUUAAGGUGCACAAUACCCAUAUAUUAAUAAUUAAGAAAAGAAAAAAAUUAAAAUUUGUAAAUUACCAAUUUUUUCUUGAAAUUUGAUAUUCUAUAUUAACGUAGGUGUUGCAUGGACUGGGUUAGUACAAUUGAAAGAAACUAACUAAAGUAAAACAAAAUAUCAUUAAAAUAUGGCAAGCUUCUCAUAUUUUUUAAGUGAAAAAGAGAAGAAAACUAAAAUUAAUUAUUUUUAUACCCAAAUUCUAGUGCUUGAAGGCCGCUGGAAUUGACCAUUGUAGUUUUGUCAUCCUCAUUAUUCACCGGCCAUCGUGGCCUUCCUCCAUUAAAAAAAUAAAUGACCAUUUUUUUGGACCACAACAUAUUAAAAAUAGUAUUGAUUAAUACUAAUAAAUCUCUUUUUUGAUUAUUUUGCAGUGUGAUAGUCGAGUGAGGGCAGUGCCCAUCGUAGCACUUGAACAUGUGGUAAAUUUAUGCCAGUCUUUGUAAAAUAAUUUUUAAAUUAUGUAUUAACCAGAUAGCUCAAUGAAAACUAUCGCUCACUAAAUUAUUACUUUAUUUUGUAUAUAUUUAUGAUAAUUGUUGAAAAGAAAAAUGUAAAGUGAGAUUAACGAACGUUUAUGAAUGUGGAAAUUAACACAACCAAGAUUUAUGAUGAAAUAAUUUUAAGUCAAAUGAGCAUAAAUUUGUAUAAAUAUUUUUUGAAUUGUCAUAUAUAUACAAGUUUGUCACUAAUAGUAAACUUAAUUAUGAGUAUUUUAAUAAUUCAAAAUUUUAUUUAACCAUCGGUGUAUAUAGUGUUUUUCAUAAUACAAAAUUAUAAAAAGUCUCAUCCUGAAUAGUAUAAUGCCAAACCUUUUCAAAAAUUUAUUCUAUUAUAGUCGUCUUAGUCAGUUAUAUUUAUUUCUAAAUUGAAGAUAAAAACAGUACUUCAUAUAUCAUCCAUUACUUCAUACAUUACUUAAAGUUUUUUUUUUUUUCAAUCAAAUUAUGAGCAAGUGAAAGGAUGCAAUAAAUUACGACUAAAAUUGUAAAAUUUACCAAUGGCUAUAUACAAAGUCUGAUUCUCAUGAGCUUAAAAGAUGGGCUUUGAAUGAUGUAUGGUUCUCAAAACUCUACUUUUAUUAAUAUGAUUGCCCUGCUUCCUUCAUGACGGGUAAUUUUUAGUUUCGUCCCCUGAAGUUUGGUUUAUCUCCAUUUUAAUAGGAAAUAUUAGCGUAUCUCCCACUUUUCUCCCCUGCCGUUUGUAUACCGUUUCAUAUUGUUAAUGGACGAAGCUACAAGUCUUCUCUUUCAUCAAAUCGAUCCAUAACAAAUACGAGUCUGCUUCACCUAACCAAAACACACACAUACUCCAUCUCUAAAUGCUUUGAAGAUAAACAAAUCAACCGUAAUCCUGCAACUUUAGCUCAGAGAAUCGGAUAAGAAAAGAACAGGUGAUGAAUCAAGGGUAAUGGCGCCGAGUGAGUGUCGCCUGCGGUCGGCGUUAGAGGCGACUGUCACUCAAUCGCGUACAAGGUUAGUCUUUGAAAAAACUCUUUGCAUGUUAGAAAUCAGUGAUUAGGCAUUAUUUUGUUAUUUAAAAAUGAAAAUGGGUUUAUUAGUUUGUCGAAGAAUCUGCUCUGUUGCCGGUGUUGUUUGUUGAUUAAAAUGAAAAUGGGUUUGUUGAUGUGUUGAAGAAGUUGCUCUCCUGCUGGUGUUUUUUUAUUAAUUAAAAUGAAAAUGGGUUUGUUAAUUUAUUGAAGCAGCUGCUGGCAUUGUUAUUGUGACUUUAUUUAUCCAAUUGAUGAGCUUAUGAGCUAAUAGUAUUGUUUGAUCAAGCUUGUGUUCUUAAUAGUGGAGUUGAUAUUCUUAAAAUGAAUUUAUGAUUAUGAGAAUAUGAAAAUUGAAUGGCAUCGUAGAGAUCUGGAUUAAUCACCAUCGUAUAUGUUUCUAAAUAAAGGAAUAAGCAGCAACCGAUUUGAAAGUUAAGACUUUAGGGAUAUGUAUGUGCAACUGAAUGAAUCAUCAGUUGCUAUCUUGUAAGUCAGUGCUAGCAUAUUACCUAAUGGCAAGUGAAGCUAUUUUAUGUGUAUUGCUGCCUAUCAAAAUGUUUAUGUUUGAAGUUUUCUCCUUUUGGGAAAUUGAAUGCUUCUGUGAGUUCUCUGGUAAGGGCUAUACAACUAUCUCUAAUAGAUUCCUUCAUGUGCAUUAAUUAGCUUAGUAGUUUAUUGACCUAUAUCCAAUGUCUAUUCUCCUUUUCUGUAGCCGUCUAGUUUUAUGAGUGUGUGAAGUGAACUUUUGUUUUAUGUUUCAGGACUUGGGAUUAGAGUGUAUAACAUUCAAUAUCUUUAUAUCAAAGAACUGAUAUAUGUCAAUGUAGUGCGAUCUGGUCUUUAUUAGCUUCUUGAUUUGCCAGGAUGUUUGACAACCAUCUUUGACCAUGAUUGCCAACAUAUAAGCUGCUACAUAGUGUCUCAGGAAUCACAGCAAAUUAUUAUCAUAAUAUGGUGAUUUUGAAUCCAAAACUUGGUAGUGUCAAGAAAAUAGACCCAUGUUUAUUUAUCUUCAUGUUUUGUAUGCGCCUGCAAUAGACUAUUAUAAGUUACUUUUAGUUUUAUCAAGUUUUUUUUUCCUUAAAUUUCAUCGAGUCUUGGAGUCUUUGUAAUAUAGAGUCUAAGUGAAGAAUACUUGGGUGAAAUCUUGUAUUCUCUCUUCCAGUAAUAUAAUCAUCCUUUGUGUUUUUAUCUUUUUAUUUUGGUAUCAGAGCAUACUUUAUUAUAGAAGGACUUAGACUCUAUAUUACAAAGACUCAGCGGUUUCUUUUAACUGAGUUAAUAGUGUUGUUAGGUUAAACUAAGUUUGGCUUCAUAAGAUUCAUAGUAGAGUGUAGAACUGGGUACAAUUUUGGGUUAGACAAGUCAAAAGUCUUCUCAAGUAAUUGUUCUGCUUACUGAUUUGGUAAUUGCAACAUUGCUAAAUAGUUCAAUUUGUCCUUUUAUUUUGUUGAAUUUAUUGUAUGUCAUAUUACUUCAUUUAAUUAUUUUCUCAGAUCUUGUAGGUGAAAAUUUCAGCUUCAAAGGCCAAGCUAAUCAUCCAGCAAUUCAGUGAAACCAAGACACAGUGGCUCAUAAAUUGUUGUUGGUGAUCCAGCCAUUCGGGUGCUUGCCAGUCCUAGACGAGAAAACUUUCAACGCGGCGCAUAAAUUGUUGUUGAUCUACUUUAUAUAUUUUGACCUUUGUGAUUUGUGAAUACAUGGUUUGAUUCCAGUGUUUACAACUUUGAUACUGUGUAUAACUUAAAAAGCAAAUGAAACAAAUAGGAAAUGUGUUUUUAUUUUUUUUAUUCUAUCUAUCUAUUUAUAUUUUGUUUGGAAAUGUAACAAUUUAUAGCUGGCAAAGUACUAGAGUUGUAUACUUGUAUUUAAUUCAUUAUUAUUAUUUUUUUAAUGAUGACUCAGUAAUGUCGUUGUCCAUGGUGUUUUGUCAUUUUGAGAGUACUUAACCCUUGGACGCUAAGGCACAUUACAGUAGCCGAAAUUUUGAGCUUUCAGUUCUUGAUUUUAGCGUGAGGGGUAUCUUUGUCGUUUCAGUUGUCAACAAACAAUUUGUUGGGGGGGGGGGGGGGGGGGUGGAGAUACGCUGAUACUUUCUAUCAUACUGGAGAUACACCUAACCUCAGGGAAGGAAACUGAAAUUUCACCUUUACGACGGGUGGACUUGGGUCAAACUUUCAUAUUCUAAUCAAGUAGGUCGAUCACGAUUCAAGCUUCAGUCAUAAGCCUUUCGUUAUGAUUGAUAUUAUUCUUUCUUGAUAGUAUCAUGGAAAAUGCAAACGAAAAGUCAGCAUCUUUGAGUUUUGUCUCAUCAUAUCCGACUUGUUGGUCUACUAAUCAAUCCACAGACCCUUGUGAUCUUGGUAAUUUGAACUUAAGGAGGCAAAGCAGCAAUCCUAAAGAGCCAUUGCUUGAUGCUGAGAUCGUUGUUGACGGCAAAUCAGUGGCAGUUAAUCGCAGCAUAUUGUCUGCACGCAGUCGUUUUUUUCAUUGGCUUUUUCAUUUGAGCAGUGAUGGUUCUGUGAGUGAGGGGAAACCCAAGUAUCUUAUGACUGAUUUGGUGCCUUAUAGGAAGGUUGGAUAUGAAGCUUUUAAUGAUAUCUUGCAUUAUCUUUACACUGGAAUGCGUAAGGCACCUCCUUCAGAAGUGUUCACGUGUGUUGAUGAUACUUGUGUUCAUCUUGUUUGCCCUCCUGCUAUUAAUUAUGUUAUUGAGUCGAUAUAUGCUUCUGCUGCUUUUAAGAUGACAGAGGUCGUUUCGGUUUAUGAGGUAGUUGCGCUUCCCCGCUACUUGUAUUGCUUAAAUUUAUGCUUAUUGGUAUAGUUUUAACAUAUGUGGGAUUGAAAUCAAUUUCAGUUGUGACUUGCAAAGAGCCAAAGAAUCUGUUGUUUUAUUUUGAAAGAGACAAAGAUGAUGAUGAUGGGCAGUGAACUCUAGGAAUCAAUGCUUGCUGACACUGACACCCAAGAAUGAUAAAAACUAACCAAAAAGGUAUAUAGAUUACAUGAGUCUGAAUUUGAUAAGUGCACCUAUCCUAUCACAAAAAGCUUUUGCGUUGAGUUUCGAACCAAGGAAAAUUGUCACUUCUGUCUGUAGGCUUCAUAGAUUUGUUCAAGCCUUCAAGGAUGUCUAGCUGUUACUUAGGGUCCAACAAUGGUGCUACAUUUCUAGUGGAUGAUAUGUUAUCUACAUCUGUAUAUUGGAACUUUGACAAACUUCGCCUUUCCUUUGUUGAUACACUCGUCUCACUUUUAUUAAAUUGCCUGAUUAUGAAAUGGUCUAUUGGAGACUAGCAAUGGAAGGUUUCUUCUGGAGAAAAUUUUACUUGCCACCAAUUUUCAUUUUGGUCGGUGUCAGUUCAUGCGCUGGCUUGAUUGUUCUGUUAUUUAGGUUGUUUUAUCCGUAUUUUCUCACUAUCUUGAUAGUUAGUUCUCUAAUGCUUUCAAGCUCAACAGCGAAUGCGAGAGAUUCUCUUUGUCCUGUCCAGGUUAUAACCUAGCAAAUCAUUAAUGCUGUAGAAUAACAUCUUGCGUAGAUGAGCUCGUGUCUCUGAACAUUGGUCCAUCGGCAUUUAGGUUCGAUAAGCAUGGCAUUGAUUUUCCCCCUCAUUGUUAUUUUCCUGCACAGAUUAUCCCCUUUAAGUAUUUGAAUUUUGAAUACAUUAUUCUGAAUCAAAACUCUAUACGUCCGUGUAGCAUUUUAUAUAUGCUUUAUGAUAUUUACCAAUAAUUACCCACUGCGAGGUAUUUGAAUUUUGAAUAUAUUAUAUAUUAUUAACUUUUGCACCCUUCUAUACAUGUAUUAGUUAAUUAUAAAGAUAUUUAUAUACUUUAUUAACUUUUGCACCCUUCUAUUUACUGAUUAUCUUUAUAAUUAACUAAUACAUGUAUCCAGGUUUCUCCUUCCAAUUGGAAUUCCUUUAUAGUGCUCUGUUAGGUGUAAUCAGAUGUAUCAAAAGAGAAAGGGUAAUUGUUAGUACAUUGAUAUCUCAACAAAAUGGUAGAACCUUUCUUUAUACCACUAAGACAUUUGUCGCAGAUAUGCCUACAUAAUCAGUGUCCUUCAAAACUUUCAAGGAGUUAGCAAUGCCUAACCCCUGAAACACUAAAUCUCACGGGAUCAACUCUUUACAUCUAGACCGAAGGUGUGACACCCAGACCCAAUUAGGGCUUAGAACACAUAUUGAAUCUGAGUGAAACUAAAUGCCUGUAAAUCCAAAUCUCCAAAAUAUCAAAAAGUCAUCUACUUUCUCUUUUCAUGUAUUUCACAAAAUUUUGAAAAAUUCAUUCUCAAUCAUAAACUAUGCACAGCUAAUUAUUCAGCAUAUCAGUAUAGAGCAAUACUUCCUCAUAAGCAAAUAAAUCUUACAAUCCUUCUUACAUGAUUUUAAAAAAAAUACUAAUAGAAGUCUUCUAGAUACAAACAUAAACAGAAUUCAACUGUUUAAAACUAUGCCAAAACACAAGCUUCAAUCAGUAAUACAUACGACUAAUUAUUAAAAACAUCUAGGCAGAAACCUUACGAAAGCUCAAUCUUUCUGAAGCAUUCUUCAAAUUAAAAAUUGCUACCAUCUGUGAAAAAUAAUUGACAAGGAGUCAGCUGUGAACUCAAUCAGUAGAAACAUUCGUAAUGAACAAAAAGAAUUCUUUGUGCAAUAUUUUCAGAAAAUUCAUUUAACCUUUCAAAUGAAACAGAGUAAUUUUUCUAACGCAGUCAGGAUUUAUAUAAAACACAAACGUUUCAGACAAAAGCUGUGCGGAAUUUAAAUUUUGCUUCUUUAAACAGAAAGUUAUAUAUUAGUUUGAUUUUAAAGGGAGGUUAUUGGGAAGUUAAAAUUGGCAGUUGUGGGAAAAGGGUAAUAGCAGUUAUAAAAUCUGUUUUAAAGCAAAUUCAAAUCAAGUUUCAAAUUUUAGGAGUACUUAAUUCAAUAAAAUAAGGAAUAAAUAAAGCUUUCAUUGAAACAAAACUAAGUAAAUUCAUUUAAAGCAAAAAAGGAUGGGAGCAUUACUAUGGGUUCUUAUGUUUACCCGCAGUCAGACAUCUGGGGACCUUGUUAUUUGGAGACAAGACUUGAUUGUGCCAUGUUUUCCGCAGCUAGACAUCUGUGGAUAAGAGAACCCUAAGCCUAUUUAGAAUAAAUUCUGUAAUCCAAGACUCUUCAGUUCUUUCAUUUGUGGCUAAUUAGUUAUAAAAUUUGUGAAUUUCAUGCCCCAUGCCCCUUGCAAAAUGCCAGUUGUUGAACUGAAAUAAUAAAAAAUGGAAAACAGACUUAAUGCCGAUAGCAUUUCUUAAGAAAAACUUGGGAUGUUUAUAAUUUUCUUAGAGCAUUUGCUGAACUUUCUGUGAUCGCAGUCGAGACGCGUGACCUCUACUUCCCUCAUUGCUCAGAAGUGGUUGAUCGCUUUUUGGAUUUGAACAAUCCUGCCACCCCAGAAAUGGACGACGAGAAACUUAAAGCAGACAUGCAGGAGGCAUUCUGCAAGGACGUGGCUUAUCACCGUCGUUUAGGGCUGCCAUCAUCCCGGCCGGCAUUUUACCAGUACACGGCUAGGAGCAAUCAGUCGGCAUUUUACAAGUACAUGGCUGAGAGCAAUCAGUCGGCCAAGUACGUGGCUGAGAGCAAUGGUUCAGGAAUGUCGACAUCCUCGGCAGCGCGCAAUCUAAAAGUUAUAUUUGACACCUGGAAAACUAAAGGAGUUGAGUGAGAUCGAUUGGUAUUUGUAGUUUCUUUUUUUUUUUCCUCAAGUGAUCUGGCAUAAUUAAAAGUUAUAUUUGUUUGUCUUAAAAGUUAUUGUAAUAUCUAAAGUCCGGUAAGAUGCGCGAACGUAUAGCAUGGAUCACAAACUCAUUUCAUAGAAUAUUUUUUUGUAUAAUUAUAUAAUUUAUAGGCUUUGCUUAAAAAAUUAAAAAAGAAUUGCAUUACAAUUGGUAUGAGGCAUGCAUGUGUGUGUCAUAUCAGUUGCUGAACAAACUUUGCCUUUUAGUUUUGUAGGCACUACCAUCUCAAAUUCUCUGUUAUCAUGAAUGAGUAUUUUUUUCUUUUUUCUUUUUUAAGAAAUCAUAAAUGAGAUUAAGAUAAUUUUUUUUAAAAAAAGAAAAAAAUGGAGAUUUCUUUUAUUUUUCCUUAAAAACUGAAGAAAAAUUUAGAUGGUAGUGUGAGACGGAGAAUUAAAGCAAUUUUACUAACAAAUGUAAUGUGUUUGGUGUCGCAAUACAAAUUAAUAAAUUAUAAUUUAUGAGACUAGUUUGCAUAAUCUUAUAUAUAAAAUUAUAUCCUCUGAAUAAAAAUCUUCUCACCUCUUUUGACUUUUCAUUUAAAUAUCCUCUCUAGAAUCUCUCUGACCAUAAACACAUUUUUACAAAACAAAACAGAAGAAAUUAUAUAUAAUUCUCACAAGGACUAUUUCAUUUGCACAUAGUACGCAAUUGGUCACUAAAGUUAUUUGAGGAGAAAAUUUACAUGAGAUGGGUACAUCCUAUUAUCAGUAUUUUAAUUUAAGUUUGAACAUACUAGAAUGGUCUCUCAUAAAUUUUUCUCCAAUUUGAGAGAUGGUGGGGAAGUGGGGUUAAAGUGCAUCUGCAUAGAAUUAAUUAUAAUUAAAUUUAUUUUUUAAAACUAUUUUAACUAGAAGUAGUAGUAAUUCUUUUUAUUAUUGUUAUUCCAAUUAUAUCAAAAUCUAGUGACUCGUGAUCAAAUUAAGUAGUUCAUUAAACUUUUUUAGGUGACGUAUGGUAUGGAGUUUUUAUAAAUCUAUAAAUAUAGUAAAAUAUUUAAUUUUGCUUGUCGUAAACUUUUAAUUUGCAUGGGUUAAAAAAGAAAAACUAGCGAAAAGUUUGUGCGCAGAGAGCCAGAGAAAACUAGCGGCCGCUGUUAAGCAAAAAGUUAAAAGUUGAACCCCAUGCAUGAAAGCUCCGAAAAUAUCGGACGUGGCGAAAACCCUAUUUUCGGAGGGACUUUUUCUCCGCCGUUUAGGGAGGCUAGAACAACCAAAAAGGCACGGUUUCGUGAUGAGGAAGUAGCUGGUGACAAUCCUAUGCAGGUUUCGUACAAAGAAACCCUGGUGAACUCUUCGCAAGCAAUGGAGAAUGGUUUUGGAGGCGGAGCAGUGGACUGGGAUUUUGAGGAAGGAGAUGUGAUCGAGAACAACGAUGGACCUAUGCCAUCAAUAGCUUUCUCGGCUAGGGUCCAUGAGAAGUUGAGUGAACCGCGGAAGAAUUCUGUCGUUGUGAAACUACUUGGCCGAACAAUAGGCUAUAGGGCUCUCUGCACAAGAUUGAAUGUAAUGUGGAAAACAACCAUGAGUUUCUCAGUGAUUGAUUUAGAGAAUAACUAUUUUUUGAUUCGCUUCCGCUCAAGUAGUGAUGUUGUUGAUGCUCUAACUAAUGGGCCUUGGCUUAUUAUGGGGCAUUACUUAACGGUACAACCAUGGACACCCAAUUUCGAUUUCACCAAAACGGCUAUUGAUCAAGUCACUGUAUGGAUUCGUUUACCUGGUCUUGCUGUCCACCUCUAUGAUCGGAAAAUGCUGCAAAAGCUUGGACAAUUGGUGGGUACGGUGAUCAAAAUUGAUGUGAAUACAGCCUCCUCUACACGGGGACGUUUUGCCCGAGUUGCAGUCACAAUCUCUUUGGCUAACCCGCUAGUGUCUCAGUUUGAACUGGAUGGGAAGGUCCAGAAGGUGGAAUAUGAGGGAUUGCCAGUGAUCUGCUUUAUGUGUGGAAGGUAUGGACAUAACAGAAAUACUUGCAAGGAAGCUGGUGCAGCGAAUGAAGCUGAAAAUGCCCCCCAGCCUACUAUGCAACGUCAGGAGGUCCCUGCUCAUCAGGAGUUUGGCUGUCAUGAUGCUAGUAUUGUAGAACCCUUUGGCACUUGGAUGAUCGUCACGAGAAAAGGCAGGAGAACUAACAAUGGCAUGGAGAAUAACAGUGAGCUAAACCGGAACCGCGAGCCUUUUGGGGCUAGCACUUCAAGAUUCCACAUUCUAGCUCAAGUCUCAGAUGAGCGUGAGGAUCAUGCCCCUGCAGUGGUUAAGGAUAUCCCCUCCACUUCACGUCAACCACUCAUGCCUACCCUGAACCCUACUUUUACCUCCCAUCAAGAGACCAUAACAAGGACCUCGGCAAGGCGUAAACCUCAUAAUAAGGCUGUGGUUACAAAACCUCGAGGUAGGAAACCGGCCACCUCAAUGAAUCCAUUCCAAAACCCCUUUCAGUCGAGUGUUUUUACCACAAGCAAGAAGGAUGUAAACUCCACACCCCAUGCAAACCUUAAUCCCACAUCAUUUGUAACUUCACAGUUUGAACCUGGUCAUCAACAAGUUUCCCACCUUGCUAACACCUUAGACCCAACGAAGCAUACUGUGGUCUUUUGCUCACCACAAACCUUUCCAUCGGGGAAUGUAAGGGAUGCGGCCAUUGAGCAUAGAGCUCGGCAGGGACCAGACCCUCAACAUACAUCUACUUGCCAGACGCUCGAAACACAUCAUGUGUUAAUGAAGUUGAGAAUGCCCAUACACACCCUGAGCAGCCUACGAGUGGAGUUGAUGAGGCUGGAAUGUUGGAUGAAGAAGAAUCAAUGGUUCAAGAAACGCUUAUGGCGUUGAUGGCUGAUAUUAAUGAUCAGCAAAACUAAGGUUUCUAUCAUCCCCUACUGAAAUUUUUUAUGUCAAUUAGCAUCAUGUAUUGGAAUGUUCAAGGGGUGGCCUUGACUACUUUUCGCCACUCUUUUAAGACUAUUGUUAAAAAUUAUAAUCCUUCUCUGGUGGUAUUGAUGGAACCUCGUAUUAGUGGGGGUAAAGCAGAUGAGUUUAUUAAGAAAAGUGGUUUUGACAACUCUCAUCGUGUGGAAGUAGUAGGCUUCUCUGGAGGAAUUUGGCUGCUCUGGCAGAAUGUUAUAGAGGUGGAGGUUCUUUUAAAUCACAAGCAAUUUAUUCAUUUCAGGAUUAGCAUGAAUAAGGUAUUUAUGUCUUGGGCAACGGCUGUCUAUGCUAGCCCAAAUCCAAUGUUGCGGAGAUAGUUAUGGAAUCAUAUGGAUAGCCUUGCUCUCUCUAUCCAAGGACCUUGGCUGAUUGGUGGGGAUUUCAAUUCUAUAUUGUACGCUUCUGAAAAACAGGGGGAGCUGCAGGGCAGUCAGGAGUGUGUGGCUUGUUUCGGCAGUGGUUUGAUGGACACCAAAUCUUUGAUUUAAAGUUCAAAGGCCCUCAAUCUACAUGGUCUCGUGGUUUUCUUUUCAAAAGGCUAGAUAAAGCCUUAUGCAAUAAUGAGUGGUUAUUAAAGUUUGCAGAUAACUCAGUUCUCCAUCUUCCGAAAGUUGCUUCGGAUCACAGACCGGUGCUAGUUCAGUUUGAGAGAGUUGUACGGAGACAUCAUGGUAAUAGGCCCUUUCGGUUUUUGGCUUAUUGGUUUACUAAUGAUCAUUUUAAUAAUUUUGUUAAGCAGACGUGGGAUCCUCAAGCUUCUUAUAGUGAUGCGGCAUCUAUUUUUGUCAAGGAGGUUCAAGUUUGGAAUCGGGAGGUUUUUGGGAAUAUUUUUCAGCGAAAACGUAUCUUAAUGGCUCGGAUUAAUGAGAUUCAAGCAACCUUGGAGAAAUCUAGUUCGAGGGGGUUAAUGCGCUUAGAGGCUUAGUUGCGGAAAGAUUUGGAGAUGGUGAUGGGGCAAGAGGACAUUCUUUGGUGGCAAAAAUCGAGAAAGGAUUGGAUUAUGCAUGGGGACAGAAAUAUUAGGUUCUUUCACCAAAAAACUAUUGUUCGCAGGCGGCGGAAUAGAAUUGAAGCCAUCCAGGACAAUUCGGGCAAUUGGUUGUACAAUGAGGAAGAAAUCCGAAAUCAUACAGUUGGGUAUUUUUCUGCCUUAUUCACAAGUGAGGCUGCAAGUCCCCAAGUUUAUCUUGUUCCGAAUUAUUUCCCAACUCUGGAUGCUUAUGAUAUCGAUUGUGUUGCCAACCCAGUUUUGGAAGCAGAAAUCAAGAAUGUCGUCUUUAGUAUGAAACCGCUAAAGGCUCCAGGUACGGAUGGGUUGCAUGCUAUUUUCUACCAGUCUCAAUGGGCAGUGGUUUGGCCUUCCUUCUGUAAGUUUAUUGCUGACAUUUUUAACUCUGGUAAGAUUCCUAAAGAGGUCAAUACUACUCUUCUGGUAUUGAUCCCUAAAGUGGAGCAUCCUACUAGCUUAAAAAUGUUCAGACCUAUCAGCUUAUGUAUAGUCGCCUAUAAAACAGUGACUAAAAUAAUUACUAACCGUUUGCAAGUCGUGCUGCCUAAAAUUAUAGGCCCUCAUCAGACGAGUUUUGUUCCUGGCCGCCACAUCAUAGAUAAUAUUGUUGUUGCCCAGGAAGUGGUCCAUACUAUGCAACGAAAAACAGGUAAGCGAGGGCUUAUGGCUAUCAAGGUAGAUCUCGAGAAGGCGUAUGAUCGGCUCAAUUGGUCUUUUAUCUUCGAUACUCUUCAGCUGACUGGCAUUCCGAUUCAAUUAUCUAGGCUCAUCAUGGAAUGUGUUACUACAGCUAAAAUGAGCAUUUUGUGGAAUGGAUAGGCUAUGGAGGAAUUUUCUCCGGGGAGAGGAAUCCGACAGGGAGAUCCCCUGUCUCCCUAUAUUUUUGUGCUUUGCAUUGAGCGGUUGAGCCAUGGUAUUUCCCAAGCUGUGAGGGAAGGCAGUUGGAAACCAAUCCGGUUGGCCAAACGGGGAACUCCCCUAACACAUUUAUUUGUUGCUGAUGACUUACUUUUAUUUGCAGAAGCCUCAAUUAAUCAAGCUUAUAUCAUUGACGCAGUUCUGGAGAAUUAUUGUCGGAGCUCUGAAACAAAGGUUAAUAAAUCAAAAACCAAAGUCUUUUUCUCUAAAAAUGUGUUAUCUAGAGAUGCCCAGCUUAUUAGUGACGCCUUGGGAUUUUCGGCUACUAAGGAUUUAGACUGUUACCUUGGCAUGCCUCUAAUCCAUUCGCGGGUGAAUAAAGCUACUUAUCAGUCCAUUCUGGAUAAGGUGGACAUGCGGCUUACUGGAUGGAAUGUGGCUAAUUUAUCCUUUGCUUGAAGAGUAACUUUGGCUCAAUCGGUGGUUCAAGCAAUGCCCAUUUAUGCAAUGCAAACAACUUUGCUUCCCCCCCGAUGCGUCAUAAAAUUGACACGACUUGUCAUCGGUUUAUUUGGGACGGGAAGUCGAAGAGGCACAAGAUGAGUAUGGUGGGCUGGGACAGAAUUUGUAUGCCAAAGAAUCAUGGGGGUCUGGGGUUUAAAAAGCUAGAUGUGUUGAACCAUGCACUGCUGAUGAAGCUGACCUGGGAAGUUGUAUCUAACUCGGACAAAUUAUGGGUGAAGGUGUUUUGUUCUAAAUAUGGGUUGGAUCCUGGAAACUUACCGCUCUCUCUCCUAGAUAAACAAUGGUCCCGUAUUUGGAUGGCUAUCAGGAAAACGUGGGCAGACACCAUGCAUGGAGCCCGCUGGUCAGUUUGUGAUGGUGUGAGAACUCGGUUUUGGCUUGACUGCUGGGUAACGAAGCAAGAACCUUUGAUAAAUUUUGCCCUCCAGCCGAUCUCUCACGAGAUUAUUAAUGCUACUGUGAGUGAGUUUAUAAACGAACACAGGGGCUGGAACUGGCUGAGAUUUGAACAUUUGCUGCCAAAUUACAUCCUCAUAUUGCAUCAGUUAGGCACUGACAAAAUUUACUGGAGUUUUGAUCCAAGAGGUGUGUUUACUGUCCGUUCAGCCUACGACUCCAUCUAUCGUCAAAACCUAGCCAUCCAAGAUGAAGCAUGGAGCUUAGCAUGGUCGUGGAAGGGACCCCAAUCUAUCCGCCUUUUUCUUUGGCAAAUUAUGCAUGGGAAGUUGAAGACUCAUGGUGAGCUGUCUCGGCGUCACAUUCCCGUGUCUAUGGCUUGUGAUAGGCGUGGGGCAUUGGUUGAGGACAUUCUACAUGCAUUGAGAGAUUGCCAUUGUAUUAAACGGGUUUGGCUGCGACUUGUUCCAGAGGGUGAUUAUCACUCUUUCUUUCACAUUAAUUUACGGGAUUGGAUUGUAGUUAAUCUUCAGAACAAGUUAAAGUUCGUUUCCCACAUUCAUUGGGAGUGUGUUUUUGGAGUGGCCGUUUGGAGAUUAUGGUUCUGGAGAAAUCAUUUCAUGGUCGAAGGAAAAUUGGUGGAUAGCUCAGCAAUUAAUAUGGAUAUUAUGGCCAGAGCAAAUGAAAUUCAUAGAGUGAAUAAUUCUCACAUGAGUCAGCAACCGAGGAGAAAAGAGAUGCUUAUCGGCUGUCAGCCUCCUCCAUGGCCUUGGUGUAAGUUAAAUACGGAUGGAUUUGUUAGAAAUUCAUGGGAUGUAGGGGCUGGUGGUGUUAUUCGUGAUUCAGUUGGUCACUGGAUUUCGGGAUUUUGUAUGAAUAUUGGGGAGUGUUCGGUGGUUAUGGCUGAGCUAUGGGGUCUAUAUCAAGGUUUAAUCCUGGCGUAGGAUGCUGGCAUAAAACGUCUUUUGGUGGAAGUGGACAGUCUGUGUGUUUCACAGAUGAUUUCUAAGCAGGUGGUCGUGCCUAAUGCUUUUUAUGCUCUAGUUGUUGCUAUCCCGAAACUUCUAAGCAGGAACUGGCAAGUUUCCCUCACUCACAUCUUUCGUGAAGCGAAUUCAACUGCGGAUUUCAUGGCUAAUAUGGCUUAUUCAGUCUCUCAUGGGUUACAUUUAUUUACUAGCCCGCCUGUGGUUAUUUAUUUAAUUAUAUUGCAAGACAUGUUUGGGGUUGCUCAACCCCGUAUUGUUCCGGUUUAGCUCGAAUUUGAGCCCAUUUUAAUCAAAAAAAGAAAAAGAAAAAAAGAAAUUGACUUAUUAAUUAAUUAACAAUUAUAGAAAGAAUAAAUAGAAAAUUAUAAUGGCGAACCUUGCUUGUUCUUUGCCUCUUGGGCUUAUGGUGUACCCUUGUCCCCCGCUGGGGGUUUCAUCCAUUCUUCUGUAUGAUUCUUACGGGGUUGCGACUCCUCGUUCGGUUGUUUUUUAGCUCUUAAUUGAGCCCCAGUUGAUCAAAAAAAAAAAAAAAAAAUUAUAGUUGCGUGAGAAAACUCUCGUGAAAAGGGCUCCGGAUUUCCUUUCCCUGGCUUCGUGCGUUUCCUUUUGCCCUUUCGAGCACGAAUUCGAAUCCAGUACUUUAUAAUAAAGAUAUAAUAUUAAAAAAUAAGAAAAAGAAUCCAAAUUUUUACUGGUAUAUAACGCAGAGCCAAAGCGAUAGCAAAACAUCAAAUUGUUUUUAUUUCAACCUUCGCGCAACUUCCGGUGACAUAAUUUUUAUCUGUUUCAGGUAUCGUUCUUGUUUUUUUGUUAUUCAUUCACAUAUCCUUCUUUUCUUUUCUUUUUUGCUGUAUUUUGUUUAUGAAACGCUCUGUUUCAGUUUUGUUUCUGGUUUUGUUUCAGUUUAACAUUAUUGGUUCGGUUCUGUUCUACGUCGUAUGUAUAUAUGUAUAUAUUUUUGGCCUCGAAUUGCUUUGAUCACCGGUUUUGUUAUUCAUUUAUCGUGAAUUUUAGAUGACUUGUUUGGCCAUGUAUUCACUUGAUUAUUACAUUCAGCUGCCAUUUUCAUGGUGGGUUUGUAAGAUAGUCUCUGACUAGCAUACGACAUUGAUCAUGAAUGAUGGUUUUGUUAGAUACAUCAUACGGAUGUUAACUCGUAUUAUUGUGUACUUACUUCAUUCAAAAGAUUAGUGUUUCUCUCUCUCUCAAUUUUUUUAAGAAAAAAAAUGAAAUGCCCCUUUUCGCAUUUUAUAGGUGAAAGGAAGAAACAUAAUAUCGCAGUGUCAAGGAAGCUCAUAAUGUAUGGAAGGAUGCAGCACACGUGUGAGAUGAAUACAGUCAGCUGAAGUUAGUUAGACACGUUAAGAUCAUAUUCAAUUAGCUUCUUUAUUUUCUGUUAAGUUGUAAACAGCUGAGUAUAAAUACAAGCAUCUUGUAAUCAUUUCGUUGUUAAGAAAAAUGAAAUAAAGCAUUUGAUUCAGAAGUCUUUUACAAAUUUUCUUAGCACUUUAAAUACAUUUUCUCAGUAACCAAACAGUCUGUUCAUUCAAGCUUUUAAGCUUUCAAACAUGGUAUCAGAGCCAUACAGAGCUAGUUCCAGUAAUCAACAGUCAAGCUUUCGUAAUCAAACAACAAACAACACAAAUCAAUCUACUCAAAUCAACUUCUCCUUUACUAAUCCUAUCAAGCUAGAUCGAUCAAAUUACUUACUCUGGCGCUUUCAAGUUUUAGCCUCAAUAAGAGGCAAUCGUUUGGAAGAUUUCGUCACAGGAGCCAAAUCAGUACCUGAUAAGUGUCUUCUGUUAACUGAAGUAGAUGGAUCUACACAACAAAUUGAAAAUCCAGAAUAUCAGAUCUGGAGAUCACAGGAUCAGACACUUCUUGGCUGGCUACUGUUGUCAUUAAGUGAAGGUAUCUUAAGUCUUGUUAUCAAUUGUGAAAGUUCAUUUGAUAUAUGGAAAACUUUGGAAAAGAAAUUUGGAGUUCAAUCUGAAGCUCGAGUUCUUCAGCUCAGAUAUGAACUAAACACUCUUAAAAAGGAAGCUCUUAGUGUUUAAGAUUAUUGUAUUAAAAUGAAAGCAAUAACUGAUAAGCUAGCCAGUGCUGGUAGUUCAAUUACAGAGAAGGAUCUUAUGUUAACUAUUCUUAAUGGAUUAGGACCAGGAUUUCGUGAUAUUGCUACAUUUAUAACUGGUUCACGAAUGGAAUUUGAUGAUGCUUAUGCACUGUUACUCACUCAUGAGACUAGAUUAGAGCAGGAGAAAGGUGACAGAAGUAUGUUUAAUGCAAACUAUGCAUAUACGAAUGCAUAUUAUCCUAGAGCUUAUUUUGCACAGCCUAGAGGAAGUUUUAAACGAGGAGGUUAUUCUGGUGGUAGAACUCCUUUCUUUGGCAGAGGAAAUAUGAAUUACUCUCCAAGAAUGUUUAAUGGAGGUGUUAGAAAUGGAUAUUGCAGAGGAUUUUUUCCUGGAAAUAACUCAACUGAUUUCAAUCAUUUUUCAGCUCCUAGGAAUCCAGUACCUAGGAACUCAUCCUUUCUAGCUAGAAAUGGUGCUAAUAUGAGUGGAUCACAAGGAAGCUUUAAUAAUGCUAGGGAGCUGGUAUGUCAGAUUUGCUUUAAGAAUGGUCAUACUGCUGAUGUCUGUUGGCACAGAUUUGUUGAAGACUUUGUACCUAUUCCAAGAGGUUUUGGCAGGGGAAAAACACCAAGAGCAGCAUAUUUCUCAAACUUUGAUGGCCCUACUUCUAAUCCAGAUUUUGGCUAUGAAAAUAAUAAUAUGUUUCCAGGUUAUGAUUCUAUAUCUGGCAAUAGUUACUAUUCUGGAAUGGAUGGAUACACUUCUGGAGCAGUUGGAACAGCUUUCAUGGCUAAUUUUGAAGGAACUGCUGAUGAUAGAUGGUAUCUGGAUAGUGUGGCAACUCACCAUUUAACCAACAAUAUGGAGAAUUUGCAGAUCAAUGAAGAGUUUAAAGGUACUGAUCAGCUUAUCAUUGGAAAUGGUCAAGGUUUGUCUAUUACUCAUGUUGGACAUGCAUUUCUGGUAUUAAGAGCUUCUAAAUCUUUAUCUAUACAUGCUAGAAUAACACUUAAAGAUGUGUUAUUUGUUCCUUCAAUUACCAAAAAUCUAUUAAGUAUUUCCAAACUCACAUCUGAUAAUCUUGUAUCUGUUGAAUUCUGUGGAAAUGUUUGUUUUGUAAAGGACAUGAAGGGUCAAGUUCUUCUGCAGGGUAUUGCUGAAAAAUGCCUUUACAAGCUGCUGCUGAAAUCUAAUUCUCUUUCUUCAUCACCUACAUCUUAUCUUUGUAAAUCCCAGCCAAAUAAACCAGUUUCUAUGUUAUCUGCUUUCAAACACUGUGAUAAUGGUACUCGAGCUUGCUAUCAAUCUGUUUUAAAUAAGUGUAAUGUCAAACCUGAUAUGAUAACUUUGUUACAUAGAAAGUUUGGUCAUCCAAGCUCAAUGACAUUGGUGCAUUUGCUCAAAUCAUGUAAACAGUUUAAAGUCUCUCCAAAAGACAUGUUAUCUUCUGCAAACACUUUAUGUGAAGCAUGUCAGCUAGGCAAAGUCCAUAAGCAACAUUUCUCAAUAACUGAAACAAAAACAAAAGGGGUAUUAGAAUUGAUUCAUACUGAUCUUUGGGGGCCUUCACCCACUGUGUCUAGAGAUGGAUACAAAUACUACAUUAGUUUUGUGGAUGAUUAUACUAGGUAUUCUUGGAUCUAUCCUCUUAAGCUCAAAUCACAAGCAUUUGAAGUUUUUAAAUUGUUCAAAACUCAAGUUGAGAAUCAGUUUGAUACCAAAAUUAAGAAGCUACAAUCUGACCUUGGGGGAGAGUUUAGAGCAUUUACUGAUUUUCUGAAUCAAAAUGGAAUAAUGUUUAGACACUCAUGUCCUUACACUCAUCACCAAAAUGGUUUUGUUGAGAGGAAACACAGGCAUAUAGUUGAGCUAGGCUUAACCCUCAUGGCUCAAGCAAACCUUCCUCUUCAAUUCUGGUGGGAACCUAUUCAUACAGUAGUGUAUCAUAUUAAUAGAUUGCCUACCCCUGUUCUGAAAUUCUUAUCUCUUUAUGAGAAACUUUUCAAACACAAACUAGAUUACACAUUCCUGAAGUGUUUUGGUUGUCUUUGCUACCCAUACUUGAGAGAUUUUAACAAACAUAAGUUUGAUUUUCACACCUCUAAAUGCAUUUUUAUUGGAUACAAUCCCUCUUAUAAAGGAUACAAGUGCUUAGCAAGUUCUGGCAAAGUCUAUGUUCUUAGACAUGUCAUUUUUGAUGAAAACACAUUCCCUUAUCCAAUAAACACUACAUCUCACACAUCAGAAAACUCCAUAUCUUCUGAAACCUCAGUGUCUAAUUUCUCUCAACAACAUAUCUAUCAUCUUUCUACAAUGGCCUUACCCAACAGCAGCUUUGAAGGUCUUCAAUCAGCAGGCUCAGCAAGAAGUGAACAAAUGUCCUCUGUUCCCACACAUACAGAUAUUCUGAAUCAACAAGAACAUCCAUCACACACAUCUUUAGAGUUAUCAUCCUCAACCUCACCAUCACCAAACACAUUACCAGUACAAUCAUCCAUUCUACAAUCAGAGGAAACUUCUAUUCCACAGAACAUAGACCAAAUUCAAACCAGAAAUCAUUCCCAACCAUCUUCUCAUCCAAUGAUUACCAGAUCAAAAUCUGGAAUCUUCAAACCAAAGGUCUAUACAGUCACCUUAGCCAACAAAGAACCUAGUACAGUUCAAGAAGCUCUUAGUAGUCAGAAUUGGCAUCAAGCCAUGGUAGAUGAGUAUGCAGCUUUGAUAAAGAAUGAGACUUGGUCACUGGUACCAUUUUCAAAUGCAUACAAAGUAGUUGACAAUAAAUGGGUGUUUAGACUUAAGCAAAAUACUGAUGGAAGCAUAGUUAAACACAAGGCCAGGUUGGUUGCCAAAGGUUUUCAGCAAACUGAAGGUGUGGAUUACUUUGAGACCUUUAGCCCAGUUGUAAAAGCUUCAACAGUAAGGAUUGUUCUGAGUUUAGCUGUGAUGCAUAAAUGGAAAAUAAGGCAAGUGGAUGUGAAUAAUGCAUUCUUGAAUGGAGACUUGACAGAGGAUGUCUAUAUGUAUCAGCCUGAAGGUUUUAUUGAUCAACAAAAACCCAAUCAUAUAUGUAAGCUGAAGAAGGCCUUGUAUGGCUUGAAGCAAGCUCCUAGAGCUUGGUAUGACAAGCUUAAGAAUUGUCUUAUUGCUAAUUGGAAAUUUCAGAAUUCAAAGGCUGAUACCUCUCUCUUCUUCAAAGAAGUGCAGGGUUCAAUGAUACUUAUCUUAAUCUAUGUUGAUGACAUUCUAAUAACAGGACCUGAUAAUGGUGAGCUGGAAAAAUUCAUCUCAGAAUUCAGUAAGACUUUUUCCUUAAAAGACUUAGGGAAUUCUGUCAUAUUUUCUGGGGAUAGAAGUUUCCUAUGCUGAAGACUGCAUCUAUUUAUCUCAGAAGAAAUAUAUCUUGGAUUUGUUAUCCAAAGCUGAUAUGCAAAAUUGUAAAGGCUGUGACACUCCCAUAGUUACUGGAACAAAGCUUCAGAAAGAAGUCAAAGGCUGUUUGGGUCAAUAUAUUGAGGAUGCAACAAGCUAUAGAAGCUUAGUUGGAGGUUUACAAUAUCUGGUAUUAACCAGACCAAAGAUAGCAUUUGCUGUGCAUAAGUUGAGCCAGUAUGUGACAGCUCCAACACUCCAGCAUGUUAUGGCUUGUAAAAGAGUUCUUAGAUACCUUAAGGAAACUGCAGAUCAUGGUUUGAAGUUUUCAGCAGGUGGAGAAAUGAAGAUCACAGGAUUUACAGAUGCAGAUUGGGCAUGUGAUGUUGAUGACAGAAAAUCAAUAGGAGCAUAUUGCAUUUAUUUUUGGAAACAAUCUAAUUUCAUGGUCAUCCAAGAAGCAGGCUAUGGUUACACGAUCCAGUGCAGAGAGUGAAUAUCGUGCUCUGGCUUCUGCAAGUGCAGAGAUAACAUGGAUCCAGUCAUUAUUCAGUGAACUCAACAUUAAGUGUACUUCAUUACCAACUAUCUGGUGUGAUAAUAUAAGUGCAACAGAGUUGGCCAAGAAUCCAGUUUAUCAUUCAAGGACAAAACACAUUGAACUGGAUAUGCACUUUAUUAGAGACAAAGUUUUGGCAAAGGAGUUGGAGAUUAACUAUAUUCCCAGCGAGGAGCAAAUUGCUGAUGCUUUGACAAAGCCUCUGACAUUCAUUCAUUUCAAUUAUUUCAGAGACAAACUCAAUGUGCAACCAUGCCCCUUGAGUUUGAGGGGGGCUGUCAAGGAAGCUCAUAAUGUAUGGAAGGAUGCAGCACACGUGUGAGAUGAAUACAGUCAGCUGAAGUUAGUUAGACACGUUAAGAUCAUAUUCAGUUAACUUCUUUAUUUUCUGUUAAGCUGUAAACAGCUGAGUAUAAAUACAAGCAUCUUGUAAUCAUUUCGUUGUUAAGAAAAAUGAAAUAAAGCAUUUGAUUCAGAAGUCUUUUACAAAUUUUCUUAGCACUUUAAAUACAUUUUCUCAGUAACCAAACAGUCUGUUCAUUCAAGCUUUUAAGCUUUCAAACACGCAGAACUAGAAUAAAGGAGCCUAUUCUGGUACCUAUUGUCCAAGAAAGCUUCUGUAUAUUCAGUAGGAACUACCAUGGAAGUCAAAUCUUACCAGAGCCAGGCGGAGUCGUUGCUGAAGGAAUAUAUAUUAGCAGAUCCAUUUCUCCCGUACACUUCAAUUGUUGGUAGCAUUUUUGCUUGCACGAUGGUAUGUUUGUCAUCGUUACUGCGUGGUGGUAUUUACUAGAAAAUAUUUUGAAUGCGUAGUUUUCAUCUAAUUAGUUAUAAAUUUUAUACCCUCUGUUUUCCAUAAGAAUGUGUUCCUUUUCAGGUCUAUGAUCUUGCCCAAUUGAUUAGUGUGCUGAUAACUUUAAAUCUGAUUCCAGUUUCUCCAACAUACAGCGGGUCGAGUGGAGUAACAGGUGAUUGAAAAUUUUCAUUUAGUCCAAUUGUCAUUUCUUUCUCAAUCGGUAAAAUUUAAUCAUUUUUCUUAAAUCGACAACUUAUGCCGGGCCAUAUCAACUGUCCAUGACAUUUUUAUUACAACGAUGUCUUUGUACUUUGUGUUUUGGUCGAAUCUCAGAGUUUGUGCAUAGCACACUUGGUUCUACUGUUUGUUUGUCCCUUCAUAGACAUUUUGAUAAACUGUUAUUUUUGUUCUUUGGAAGUGAAUAUUUUCAGCAACUAGAACUCCGAAGCAUCUGGAGUGAUCCAUUUUGUCAUUCGCAAUACCUAUAAAAGAAUGUCAUAGAAAACAGUUUCCAAAGCAAGUUGCAUGUGUUUUGAAUUUGUCUUUGCAAGCCACUAAUUGCUUGGAGCGCACUGUUAGCCUGUCGUGAUCCCAUCCACUUUUUUGGAUAGACAAUUGUGCAUCCAUAUGAUCUGGACUAAACUAGUUUCUAAUAAAUAAUUGCCCAAGGAUUUAGUCUCAGUGUUACAGCCCAGUCUUUGUUGUCAAUACUCUUUCCCCUGUCGUGGAUGAGCGCCAUAACAGCUUCUUAAUGUUUUGCAGUGGCUUUUGCACGGUUGUUGUUUCCUUCUGAAGCUAGAGUAGCUACGGAUAGAGCGGAUGCAGAUGCCACCAAUUUUUAUACUGGCCUUUCAGCAUCAAAAUCAAAAGGAUCAAGUGGGAACUUAAAGGAGGUUGAUUUGAAUGAAACACCCUCCAUGCAAGCCAAGAGACUCCAAUUAAGAUUGCAAGCUCUGCUUAAAACAAGUAUUCAUAUACCUUAUUAGUUUUUGUACCUUUACAAUUUGUGAUUUUUGUAUCAAAAGAGAGAGGUUAAUUUUUAGUACAUUGAUAUCUCGACAAACUGUUAGAACCUUUGCACCACUAGAGACAUUUUCUUAGAGCAUUUACUGAACCUUCUAUGAUUGCAGUGGAGAUAGGUCGACGCUACUUCCCUCGUUGCUCAGAAGUGGUUGAUAAAUUUUAGGAUUGUGAUUGGUCCGAUGCUUCCCUCCUAGAAAAAGGGUACUCCUAAAGAGCAGAGACUCAAAAGGGCACGCUUCAUGGAACUUAAAGAAGACGUGAAGAAGGCAUUUUACAAGGACAUGGCUGAGAAAAAAUGGCUCAGGUUUGUAGUCAUCCUCGUCAUCGUCAUCUUCUCCGAAGGACGGAGUAAAGUGUAAGGGUAGGAAAAUGUGAUGCUUAUCUGCUUGUCUUUGUUAUUCAUUUACAGGCAACUAAAAGAGUUUUAGUGAGUUGGAUUGUUACUUGUAGAGAGAUACUCUUCGAGCCUAUGUUAUGGCUUAUGUUGUAUAAUAGCAGAGGAACUUCAAGCUUGCGUUGUUGUAUUUUCCCUGGUAUUUGGCAUGUGAUGCACUAAAUGACAAAGAAUUUUCUAAUUUUAGAGGGGAAAGUUAUGUCAGUUAAUUAUUUAUUUAUUUUGUCUGUUUAAUUCAGUUUACACAGCGCUUUUUUUUUUCUAAAAAAAUCUUCAUAUCUCCAUCUGCAAUUUAAGUCAUUCUUAACUUGUUUCAGGAUGGGGAACAAAAAAAAAAAAGAGAAAAUGAAAAGAAGCAUUUGUAAGUAUAUUUUACAGUACUGAUUUUCCUAUAGAAAUUGGUUAAUGUGACAUUAAUGUUCUUUGAGAUAGACGGAUAUACAGAUUUUUCGUCGAAAUUGAAAUUAGAAAUGGAUGGAUAUGCAGAAUUUUUUAAUAGAAUUUUUAUACAAAAAUUUGUAGCUCAUUACUCUCUAAAAGGAAAAAAUAAAUUUUUGAUUGUAAAUAUUAAAUUUUAAAUUUAUAAUAUAAUAACUUUGUGAGUUAAGGUGCACAAUACCCAUAUAUUAAUAAUUAAGAAAAGAAAAAAAAAUUAAAAUUUGUAAAUUACCAAUUUUUUCUUGAAAUUUGAUAUUCUAUAUUAACGUAGGUGUUGCAUGGACUGGGUUAGUACAAUUGAAAGAAACUAACUAAAGUAAAACAAAAUAUCAUUAAAAAUAUGGCAAGCUUCUCAUAUUUUUUAAGUGAAAAAGAGAAGAAAACUAAAAUUAGUUAUUUUUAUACCCAAAUUCUAGUGCUUGAAGGCCGCUGGAAUUGACCAUUGCAGUUUUGUCAUCCUCAUUAUUCACCGGCCAUCGUGGCCUUCCUCCAUUAAAAAAAUAAAUGAUCAUUUUUUUGGACCACGACAUAUUAAAAAUAGUAUUGAUUAAUACUAAUAAAUCUCUUUUUUUAUUAUUUUGCAGUGCAAUAGUCCAGUGAGGGCAGUGCCCAUCGUAGCACUUGAACAUGUGGUAAAUUUCUGCCAGUCUUUGUAAAAUAAUUUUUAAAUUAUGUAUUAACCAGAUAGCUCAAUGAAAACUAUCGUUCACUAAAUCAUUACUUUAUUUUGUAUAUAUUUAUGGUAAUUGUUGAAAAGAAAAAUGUAAAGUGAGAUUAAUGAACGUUUAUGAAUGUGGAAAUUAACACAACCAGGAUUUAUGAUAAAAUAAUUUUAAGUCAAAUGAGCAUAAAUUUGUAUAAAUAUUUUUUGAAUUGUCAUAUAUAUACAAGUUUGUCACUAAUUCCUUACCUAAAUCAUGUACUAAGCAAACAGCAAAUAAGAUCGAAAAUCUUGUUGAAUAUUCCUAUGUUCCCGAGUCCGCCCAGAUCACUGAAUCUUCUUUACCUCUUAUCAGUCCAUACCAUCUGUAUAAAAAAACCAUCUUCUUUUACUAAAACCAUCAAAACCCUGAUUUCUACCAAACGCCCCUCUCCUAAAGAGUAUAUCCAGUCAUCUAAACUAGAUCAGUGUGCUUUAAUGGCUACUGCAGCUGAACAAUAUGUGACACUUGAGAUACCCCCAGAAGUAAUCUCUACAUGGAAAAGAAAAGGCUAUACACAUCUUCAUCUUGCAGGUGUUCGCCUUAUCCUUACUCUCAAUGGGAGAAAGGGUCUACCCGUCACAGCCCGAAUUGCUUUGCUUGACACCAGGUUUAAGCAAUAUCAGCAUGCCAUUAUUGGCACAGUUCUUACUACUCUCUCUGCCGGAAAUGUUUUGCUUACAUUCUAUCCUAAUUUCAAUCUUUCUCUUCUUGACUCUAAUCUUUUCAAAGUAGGUUUUAAUGGUGUUCAAAAACAUAACAUCACAUUAAGGAAUCAUUCUUUUAUUGUUAUCCCCAAAAAAAGUUCACCUUCACCAACCCCCUCAUUUACCCUUCUUCUCAGCUAUCCUUUGGCGUAUCUCCAUUUUAAUAGGAAGUAUUAGCAUAUCUCCCACUUUUCUCCCCUGCCGUUUGUAUACCGUUUCAUAUUGUUAAUGGACGAAGCUACAAGUCUUCUCUUUCAUCAAAUCGAUCCAUAACAAAUACGAGUCUGCUUCACCUAACCAAAACACACACAUACUCCAUCUCUAAAUGCUUUGAAGAUAAACAAAUCAACGGUAAUCCUGCAACUUUAGCUCAGAGAAUCGGAUAAGAAAAGAACAGGCGAUGAAUCAAGGGUAAUGGCGCCGAGUGAGUGUCGCCUGCGGUCGGCGUUAGAGGCGACUGUCACUCAAUCGCGUACAAGGUUAGUCUUUGAAAAAACUCUUUGCACGUUAGAAAUCAGUGAUUGGGCAUUAUUUUGUUAUUUAAAAUGAAAAUGGGUUUGUUGAUGUGUUGAAGAAGUUUCUCUACUGCUGGUGUUUUUUUAUUAAUUAAAAUGAAAAUGGGUUUGUUAAUUUAUUGAAGCAGCUGCUGGCAUUGUUAUUGUGACUUUAUUUAUCCAAUUGAUGAGCUUAUGAGCUAAUAGUAUUGUUUGAUCAAGCUUGUGUUCUUAAUAGUGGAGUUGAUAUUCUUAAAAUGAAUUUAUGAUUAUGAGAAUAUGAAAAUUGAAUGGCAUCGUAGAGAUCUGGAUUAAUCACCAUCGUAUAUGUUUCUAAAUAAAGGAAUAAGCAGCAACCGAUUUGAAAGUUAAGACUUUAGGGAUAUGUAUGUGCAACUGAAUGAAUCAUCAGUUGCUAUCUUGUAAGUCAGUGCUAGCAUAUUACCUAAUGGCAAGUGAAGCUAUUUUAUGUGUAUUGCUGCCUAUCAAAAUGUUUAUGUUUGAAGUUUUCUCCUUUUGGGAAAUUGAAUGCUUCUGUGAGUUCUCUGGUAAGGGCUAUACAACUAUCUCUAAUAGAUUCCUUCAUGUGCAUUAAUUAGCUUAGUAGUUUAUUGACCUAUAUCCAAUGUCUAUUCUCCUUUUCUGUAGCCGUCUAGUUUUAUGAGUGUGUGAAGUGAACUUUUGUUUUAUGUUUCAGGACUUGGGAUUAGAGUGUAUAACAUUCAAUAUCUUUAUAUCAAAGAACUGAUAUAUGUCAAUGUAGUGCGAUCUGGUCUUUAUUAGCUUCUUGAUUUGCCAGGAUGUUUGACAACCAUCUUUGACCAUGAUUGCCAACAUAUAAGCUGCUACAUAGUGUCUCAGGAAUCACAGCAAAUUAUUAUCAUAAUAUGGUGAUUUUGAAUCCAAAACUUGGUAGUGUCAAGAAAAUAGACCCAUGUUUAUUUAUCUUCAUGUUUUGUAUGCGCCUGCAAUAGACUAUUAUAAGUUACUUUUAGUUUUGUCAAUUUUUUUUCCCUUAAAUGUCAGUUAUUUCAGCGGUUUCUUUUAACUGAGUUAAUAGUGUUGUUAGGUUAAACUAAGUUUGGCUUCAUAAGCUUCAUAGUAGAGUGUAGAAUUGGGUAUAAUUUUGGAUUAGACAAGUCAAAGGUCUUAUCAAGUAAUUGUUCUGCUUACUGAUUUGGUAAUUGCAACAUUGCUAAAUAGUUCAAUUUGUCCUUUUUAUUUUGUUGAAUUUAUUGUAUGUCAUAUUACUUAAUUUAAUUAUUUUCUCAGAUCUUGUAGGUGAAAAUUUCAGCUUCAAAGACCAAAGCUAAUCAUCCAGCAAUUCAGUGAAGAAACCAAGACACAGUGGCUCAUAAAUUGUUGUUGGUGAUCCCAGCCAUUCGGGUGCUCGCCAGUCCUAGAUGAGAAACCUUUCAACGCGGCGCAUAAAUUGUUGUAGAGCUGCUUUAUAUAUUUUGACCUUUGUGAUUUGUGAAUACAUGGUUUGAUUCCAGUGUUUACAACUUUGAAAUUCAAUUAAAAGUUGAGCUGUCAUUGAUUGAUGACAAGAUUGUGUUGUAUAACUUGAGAAGCAAAUGAAACAAACAGGAAAUAUGUUUUUUUAUUUUUUUAAUCUAUCUAUCUAUUUAUUUUUUGUUUGGAAAUGUUACAAUUUAUAGCUGGCAAAGUAAUAGAGUUGUAUACUUGUAUUUAAUUUAUUAUUAUUAUUAUUAUUUUAAUGACUCGGUAAUGUCAUUGUCCGUGGUGUUUUGUCAUUUCGAAAGUACUUAACCCUUCCACGCUAAGGCACAUUACCGCAGCCGAAACUUUGAGCUUUCAGUUCUUGAUUUUAGCGUGAGGGGUAUCUUUGUCUUUUCAGUAGUCAACACACGGUCAACAAAACAGUGUACAAACAAUCGACCUGUGAACUUGGGUCAAAGCUUUCAUCUUUAAAUCACAUAGGUAGAUCAUGAUUCAAGCUUCAGUUAUAAGCCUUUCAUUGUGAUUGAGGUAAUUGUGUUUCACUGCUAUUUGUAUUGCUUAAAUUUAUGCUUCUUGGUAUAGUUUUAACAUAUAUGGGAUUGAAAUCAAUUUCAGUUGUGAAGCAACUCCGGUGGUUCCCAAUAUUAGGCAUUGUAGUAGAUCCAAAAUUAGCUUGUUAAGAAGUGUAGAUACCGUAGAGCCCAAAACUCCGUCUUAUCUUGCAAGAGUCUGUUGUUUUAUUUUGAAAGAGACAAAAGUGAUGAUGAUGGGCAGCGAACUCUAGGAAUCAAUGCUUGCUGACACUGACCCCCAAGAAUCAAUGAGUCUGAAUUUGAUAAGUGCACCUAUCCUAUCACAAAAGCUUUUGCGUUGAGUUUCUAACCAAUUUUCAUUUGGGUAGGUGUCAGUUCAUGCUCUGGCUUGACUGUUCUGUUAUUUAGGUUGUUUUAUCCGUAUUUUCUUCACUCACUUGAUGGUUAGUUCUCUCAUGCUUUCAAGCUCUCAACAGUGAAUGCGAGAGAUUCUAUUUUUCCCGUCCAGUCUAUAACCUAGCAAAUCAUUAAUGCUGUAGAAUAGCAUCUUGUGUAGCCGAGUUUAUGUCUCUGAACAUUGGUCCAUCGGCAUUUAGGUUCAAUAAGCAUCUUGAAUUUUGAAUAUAUUAUUCUGAAUCAAAACCCUAUCUGUCCGUGUAGCAUUUUUUAUAUGCUUUACGAUGUUUACCAAUAAUUACCCACUAUGGGGUAUUUGAAUUUUGAAUAUAUUAUUCUGAAUCAAAACUCUAUCUGUCCGUGUAGCUUUGGCUUCUGAACUUGGUUGAGAAGGCUCUUGUGGAAGAUGUAAUCCCAAUUCUCGUGGCUGCCUUGCAUUGCCAACUGAACCACCUCCGUUCUUUCUGCAUCCAGAGAAUUGCAAAGUCAAAUCUUGACAAUGUUUGUCUCGAGAAAGAGCUUCCUGAUGAAGUUUCAAGUGAAAUCAAAUCACUCCGUGUCAAAUCUAACCAGGAGUCUGAAGCUAAUAUAGCAGAAGUGGAUCCUAUGCAUGCAAAAAUAGUCAGAAGAAUCCACAAGGCGCUGGACUCUGAUGACGUUGAACUGUUGAAGCUUCUUCUGGAUGUAUCUAGUGUCACUCUGGAUGAUGCUUACGCUCUGCACUAUGCUGCUGCCUACUGCAACCCUAAGGUUUUUAAGGAAGUGCUCAAUAUGGGCUCGGCUGGUCUCAAUCUUAAGGAUGCAAGAGGACAGACGGUCCUUCAUGUGGCUGCAAGGCGUAAUGAGCCAGAAGUGAUGGUGACUCUGCUGAGCAAGGGAGCAUGCGCAUCAGAAACUACAUCAGAUGGGCAAACAGCUGUAGCAAUCUGUCGGAGAAUGACAAGGCUAAAGGAUUAUCUUGAAGCUACAAAGCAGGGGCAGGGAACUAACAAAGACCGGUUAUGCAUUGAUGUCCUUGAGAGAGAGAUGAGAAGGAACUCCAUGUCUGAGAACUUGGCAAUGCCAUCAGAGGUGAUGGAUGAUCAUUUCCAAGCGAAGCUGGACUAUCUAGAAAAUACAGGUGAUAUUUCUUUACUGGUAUUAG